rnacentral:lncRNA from 1 species
AAUUAAUCUUUCAAUCGAGGAUACAUAUGUAUCCUUAAUAUACUGAAAUGGCUUCCAUUAUGGGUAUUAAACCAAUAGCGGUUUAUACAAUCUAAAUCUUCUAAUCGAUAAUUUGGCCAAAGAAAUAAUUUAAAAUUCAUUAGUUUUUUUGUUUCGCUAUCAAGAUCUUUAUUUUUAGCCAAAACUUGAGAAACAUUUUUUAUUUGAUUCUCAUUGUCAUUUAUUGUUUUUCUAUGCACAGUAUUUCUAUUCCUAGGAUUGAAACAAGUUAGAAUUCUCAAUUCUCUACGGCGUCUAGUGGACAAAAGAUUUUCAGGAGCAAACAAAUCAUAAAGAUUUUUAUCUUUAUUUUCUGUUAUCUUUUGAUCAACACGACUUUUUUUCUUUUUCCAACUCCAACUUCUUCGCCUCUUACUCUUAUGAAUCAACGGUAGUCUUAUGGUUUGAUAUAGAAGAGAUUGUUCAUGUUUUUUUGUAGGCAGGCGAAUAGGUUCAAUAAAAAAUAUUAGCCUUUCAUUCAAGUCCUCAGUGUCCCUACAUUCUGUAUAACAAAAAUCCUUCGUAAUUGAAUCAACCAGCAUUUCUAUAUCUAGCUCUAGCUUUUUAAUCGACAUUAUUACAAUUUUUUAAAAUUUUUUCAUUCUAAGCAGGAGACAAAAUAAGUUGGUAUUAUCCAUUCCUAUUUCUUCGUCUGAACUAUCAUAGUGCAAAUAAAAACCCAACUAUUUUGAUAGUAAGAAAUCUCGUUCUCCCUUUAGAUCGAUCCUGUAUUUAGAAUCUGAUCCUUUAUAAUAGUAUGAGCCAGAUUUAAGAUCUUCAUCUACUGUAUUCACGUAUUCUUCCAUUGUUAACUCUAAAUUAUAAUAGUAUUUUGUCUGUUGAUUCAAGAAAAUAAAAAAAACGUUGUCGAUGGAUCCUAGCAAUACUACUGAUACAUAAAAGGAUAUCUAUGUAUACCCCUUCUAUGAAAAUUUUGAAAAAAGAAUAGGAUUUACGUAUUAAUCGAACAAAUCUUCUUUUUAAGAUUUGCAAAAUAUUUUUUUGUAAUUCUAAUCUUUUAGCAUCAUAAGUAGUUUUGUUCGAAUUCAAAUUGAUCUCUGAAGUUAGAAUCCCCUCUUUUUUUUCUUCUGUCAUUGUUUCUAUUUGUUUUAUGAUUGUCUUUGUUUUAAUAUUAAGAUCUUUUAUCCUUUUUUCCGUGAAUGAAGAAUUUGUCCAAUUAAUAGAUUCCAUUUUAACGGGUGAUUCCUCAAUCACCUCAAUCUUUAAAUUAUUCUUACUAAUUGUUGAAGUUUUUUUGCUUUCACUCAGUUCAUCUAUUGUUUCAUCUAUUGUUUUGAACCUAAAUAGAAUACUUUUAAGUUUUGAUGUUCCAGUUUUCUAUUUUUUUUUAACAUAGUUCGAAACCAUUUUUUUCUUUCAUUUAAAAAUUUUAGAACUAGAAAAAAACGCUUUUUCAAAUCUUUUUUCAUUCAUAUCCUAUCAAUUCCAUCAAGAGUAUCUUGAAUCCAUUCAUAUCCUGUCAAUACUGAAUUUCUACAUGAUUAAUAAUUCUGUCAGCGUAGGCAUUUCCUUCUGAAUUUCAAAGAUUCAAACAUUUAAGCUAGCUAUUUCUAAUGUUCCAAGUGACACAAUGAUAGAUUGGGAAGUAGAUAUAACCAACAUGUUAUCCAUUUAAAUCCAAAUAUUCCUCCAACUAUGCUCGUAAGGAGUCUAAAUAGUGAGCAUGACCGUCGUAAUCUGUGCACACAAGGUCGUUGAUAUGCCUAAAUUAGUAGCAAAACCUGCUACAGAUUGGCAUUCGCUGAAAAUAUCUGGACAUGAAGCGUUACCAGGACACCCAUGGGCAACAUCGCUUCUAUUACAUUUAACCCGUUUUUAAGCCUCUCAAGCAUGGCCAUCUAUUAUGCUAAGUUCUAGAGUUCCUCCAUUAUGGUCACCAUAAGAGCCUUAGCUACUCACUUUGAGCUAGAAUUAAUCCAACUCUGUUUUAAUAUUAUUGACUGAGUCAUGAAUGUUACAAAACGAGUGUUUAUUCCACCAUUUAAGCUUGGACUUGAGAAUUUACAAUUUUCUGUGAAGGAUGGAUUGAUUGCCUCCUAUAACUAACAUUUUUCGAGCACUCCAUUAUUUUAAUUUUUUUUUUUUUGCAAUCUUUAUGAGAGUUCCAAAUAGAAAGGAAUUUGUAGUUUAGGUGCUCACAAGGAUUGUUUAGAAGACUAACUAAAAUGGUAAUGGUCAAAUUUUGUGUGUGUGAAACUGUGAACGGUGGUGGGGCUUGUUGAAGAUUAGUUAUAUCCAACCAAAGGUCUCUUUAAUGGAAAAUAUGGUUUUGGGAUAACAUCCCUCUAAUGGGCAUUGGUUGGAUCAUUUCUGGACUGUUUUCUAAUCAUUUUUUAUCAUUCUAUUCUCUAUAUUAGAAAUAACUAUUUGAAAUUUUCCAUGGUUAGGAAUCUCAUGUCGAUGAGUAUUUUUUACUUCAUCUUCAUAGUCAACACCCCAGGGAGUUAAGAUUGAGAGCCUUUUGAGCAUACAAACUCAAAGGAACAGUUCCAUCUUCUGUUUCAUCUGAGCUAAUGUCAUCCUUUGGACUGGAUUCACAGUCUUGGUUUUCAUGAGUUUCUGAAAAAAAAAUCCACACUUUUACUAUGGGAUAUCAGCUUAUGAACUAUAUUUUACUGCUACGUUUGUUGAACUAACUCACAAUACAAUUGUUUUCACAGGUGGGAUUUGGUGGUUUCAAGCAUUUAAAACUAUCUGAAUUUCCCGAGUUAAAAGAGUUCUGGUAUGGUCAACUUGAGCAUAACGCAUUUAGGAGUUUGAAGCAUCUAGUGGUUCAUAAAUGUGGUUUUUUAUCCGAUGUGCUCUUUCAACCUAACUUGCUAGAAGUACUGAUGAACCUGGAAGAAUUAGAUGUGGAGGAUUGUAAUUCAUUAGAAGCAGUUUUUGAUUUGAAAGAUGAAUUUUCCAAAGAAAUUGUUGUGCAGAAUUCUAGUCAACUGAAGAAAUUAAAACUAUCUAAUCUUCCAAAACUGAGGCAUGUAUGGAAGGAGGAUCCACAUAACACUAUGAGGUUUCAAAAUUUAAGUGAUGUAUCCGUUGUGGGAUGCAAUAGCUUGAUAAGCCUCUUUCCACUUUCAGUAGCUAGAGAUGUGAUGCAACUUCAAAAUCUUCAAGUAAUUAAAUGUGGGAUUCAAGAAAUCGUUGCCAGGGAAGAUGGACCAGAUGAGAUGGUUAAAUUUGUGUUUCCUCAUUUGACAUUCAUUAAACUUCAUUAUUUGACCAAACUGAAGGCAUUCUUUGUUGGGGUCCAUUCUCUUCAAUGCAAAUCAUUGAAAACAAUUCAUUUGUUUGGAUGUCCAAAAAUAGAGCUAUUUAAGGCAGAGACUUUGAGACACCAAGAAAGUUCCAGAAAUGAUGUGCUCAAUAUCUCAACAUAUCAACCUCUUUUUGAGAUUGAAGAGGUAAGUGUAGCGUUAAAUAUCAUCCUUGCACUGAACAUACAUGUACAAUUUUGAACUGUUUUUCAUUGUUUUGUUAAUUUGAAGAUAAAUUAUUCAACAUUUCUUAACAUGGAUAUAACACUUUUAAUUGUCUUUGCAACAGGUACUUGCCAAUGUGGAGAAUUUAGAUUUGAACGACAAAGAUUUUGGCAUGAUAUUGCAGAGCCAAUAUUCAGGGGUUCAAUUCAACAACAUCAAACACAUUACCGUGUGUGAGUUCUACAAUGAAGAAACUACUUUUCCAUAUUGGUUCUUGAAAAAUGUUCCUAAUUGUGCAAGCUUGUUGGUCCAGUGGAGUUCCUUCACAGAGAUAUUUCAAGGUGAAGAAACCAUAAGAACGGAAAAGGAAACUCAAAUUAACCCGCAACUCAAACGGUUGGAAUUGUGGCAACUGAGCAAGCUUCAAUGUAUAUGCAAAGAAGGAUUUCAGAUGGACCCCGUUCUACAGUUUCUUGAAAGCAUUGAUGUUUCUCAGUGUUCCAGUCUGACAAAGUUGGUUCCAUCCUCUGUUAGCUUUAGUUAUUUGACCUAUUUGGAGGUAACAAACUGCAAUGGGUUGAUAAAUUUGAUAACACACUCAACAGCCACGAGUCUUGUCAAACUCACAACAAUGAAGAUUAAAAUGUGUAAUUGGCUUGAGGAUAUAGUGAACGGUAAAGAAGAUGAGAUAAAUGAUAUUGUAUUUUGCAGUUUACAAACUCUAGAACUAAUUUCUUUACAAAGGCUAUGUCGAUUUUGUUCAUGCCCAUGCCCCAUUAAGUUUCCGUUGCUGGAAGUUGUAGUUGUCAAAGAAUGUCCUCGAAUGAAACUUUUUUCAUUGGGAGUUACCAACACAACAAUUCUUCAAAAUGUACAAACUAAUGAAGGAAAUCAUUGGGAGGGUGACCUCAACAGAACCAUAAAGAAAAUGUUUUGUGAUAAGGUAUAUUUUAUUAUCAUCCAUCAAUUUAUUUACUUUGGGUAAGUUUAAGAAAAUCUAUCUAGAUCAAUUUUGUAUUCUUGUAGACUAGAAUAUUAAUGCAUAAUUAAAGAUUGCUUAAAUGCAAUUUUAAUUUGUCUUUUGAUUUAUUAAUUUGAAUGAUCAGGUUGCAUUUUGUAAAUUCAAGUACUUAGCCUUAUCUGACUAUCCUGAGCUAAAGGAUGUGUGGUAUGGCCAACUUCACUGCAAUGUGUUCUGCAAUUUGAAACAUCUUCUCGUGGAAAGGUGUGAUUUUUUAUCACAUGUACUUUUUCCAUCAAAUGUAAUGCAAGUGCUACAGACAUUGGAAGAACUAGAAGUAAAAGAUUGCGAUUCAUUAGAAGCAGUGUUUGAUGUGAAAGGUAUGAAGUCACAAGAAAUAUUUAUAAAAGAAAACACUCAAUUGAAAAGAUUGACUUUGUCUACUUUACCCAAAUUGAAGCAUAUAUGGAAUGAGGAUCCUCAUGAAAUUAUCAGCUUUGGAAACUUACACAAGGUGGAUGUUUCUAUGUGUCAAAGCUUGUUAUAUGUCUUUCCAUAUUCACUAUGCCCAGAUCUUGGACAUCUUGAAAUGCUUGAGAUAAGUUCUUGCGGAGUCAAGGAAAUUGUUGCAAUGGAAGAAACUGUAUCAAUGGAAAUUCAAUUUAAUUUCCCCCAAUUGAAAAUCAUGGCACUGCGGCUUUUGUCAAAUCUCAAGAGUUUCUAUCAAGGAAAGCAUACUUUAGAUUGCCCUUCAUUGAAGACUUUGAAUGUAUAUCGUUGUGAAGCAUUGAGAAUGUUUUCUUUCAACAAUUCAGACUUGCAACAACCUUACUCGGUUGAUGAAAACCAGGACAUGCUAUUCCAACAACCCCUGUUUUGUAUUGAAAAGGUAAACCCCACCAUAUCUACACCGUUUUUCUUUAUUUUUAUGUUUCAUAUUUAUUUUGUAUGUAAAGUAAUACGCUAGUAUUUAUUUUCAUUAUGGAUGUGUAUUUUUCAGUUGAGCCUAAACCUGGAGGAAUUGGCAGUAAAUGGCAAAGAUAUGUUGGGGAUAUUGAAUGGUUAUGUUCAAGAAAAUAUCUUUCAUAAAGUCAAAUUUCUUCGUUUACAAUGCUUCGAUGAAACUCCAACUAUUCUUCUGAAUGAUUUCCAUACAAUAUUUCCUAAUGUUGAAACAUUUCAAGUGCGUAAUAGUUCUUUUGAAACAUUGUUCACCACUAAAGGAACCACAAGUUAUCUCAGUAUGCAAACGUCAAAUCAAAUAAGAAAGUUGUGGCUUUUUGAAUUGGACAAGCUCAAGCACAUCUGGCAGGAAGACUUUCCAUUGGAUCAUCCUCUGUUACAAUAUCUUGAAGAGUUACGUGUAGUGAAUUGUCCAAGUUUGAUAAGCUUGGUACCAUCAUCGACAUCUUUCACAAAUUUAACCCAUUUAAAAGUGGACAACUGCAAAGAGUUGAUCUAUUUGAUAAAAAUUUCAACAGCUAAAAGUCUAGUUCAACUCAAAGCAUUAAACAUAAUUAAUUGUGAGAAGAUGUUGGAUGUCGUGAAGAUUGACGAUGAUAAAGCAGAGGAAAACAUCGUAUUUGAAAACUUGGAAUACUUGGAAUUUACUUCGUUGUCAAAUUUGAGAAGCUUCUGCUAUGGGAAACAAACAUUCAUAUUCCCAUCUUUGCUCAGUUUCAUCGUUAAAGGAUGCCCUCAAAUGAAGAUCUUCUCAUGUGCACUGACAGUAGCACCGUGCCUCACAUCAAUUAAGGUGGAAGAAGAAAACAUGCGAUGGAAAGGUGAUCUUAACACAACUAUUGAACAAAUGUUCAUAGAAAAGGUACACAAUGUCAUUAUUAUUUAUGAAAAUUGUUUACUUUUUAUUCACAUGAUUAAACAAGGCUCACAAUAUUAAUUUGGUGCAUGUUCGGACCGUGACUUUGAAAUUAAUUAUAGAUUUACUACAAAGUUAACACUAAGACCAUCACAACACAACACCCUAAAUUGCGUGCUUAAAUUGAAUUCAUAUGCCCACAUCACUCAUUUUACCGUAAUACUUAAUAAGCAUCAAUUUUCUCCAACCCAGCACCUUAAAAGGAAUUAUUAAAUAGGGCCCACAAAUAAUUUUAUAUCAUUACAUUUCAACAAAAUUUAUUUAUUUUAUUAAGAUUUUUUAAAUGGAACCCAUGAAAAAUGAAGAGAGAGGGUGCUUCCAUAGCCACCCAUGUAUUAUACUCCACAAUGGGAGUGCCUAUUUAAUAUGGUGCUAAAUAGGUGAAACAUCCACCAUUGUGGUUGGUCUUAUUAGGUUGAGAUCUAAUUCGCUAAACAAAAUUAUCUAAUGAAAUCUGAGAAAGAGAAAUUGUCUUCUAUAUUGACGCGGAAUAAGUUACUUUUAUCGAUAAAAAAACUGAUGGUAUGAUUUUUUUGGUUAGAAAUAAAAAACUGAUGGUAUGAUAAUCAAACUAUUUUAUUUUUAUUGAAAAAUCAAAAUAAUAUUUUUAGUUAAGGGCUGAUAUAUUUGUUAUUAAUUAAUUAAUUAAUUAAUGUUAACAUUUUGUCGACAGGAAGUCCCACUUUCUAAUUAAUAUAUUGAAUGAUGAGACCAUCAUCUAUCCUCACAAUUGCAAGGUGCGCAACACCAAAUUCUACUCAAUAGGGAAUUAUUCUCAUUAUCAUUUGAUUGUGAAGUGUUUUGUUCCUUCUUGACUGAAAUUUUUGGAAUACAUUUUUUUCCUUCUCUUUUGAAUCACCGGUUAUUAUUAAGGUUGAAAUAUAUUUUUAGUCCAUGAAAAUUUACUACUUUUUUUGUUGUUUUAAUCUCUAUUAAAAAAAUACUUUUUAUUUGUUUCCGUGAGUUUAAAUCAAUUGGUAUCAUCAUAGCAUAAAAUAUGCAGGGGUCAGAGUUCGAACUAACAUCCAACUUAUUCACCUUAAGAGAUGAAUUUAUAGCCAACAGACUACUUAACAAAAAAAAAAUAAAAAAUAUUUUUUAUUUAUUUAAUUUUUAGUCCUUACAAAUAUAUAUCUUUUUGUUUUUAGUCAUUCGAGUUUUUUUCUUGACGAACUUUGAGUUUUGUUUUGAUACUUGCAAAAUAUGAUCAUUUUGAAAUCAUUUUUUGUAAUACUCAUUUUAGUCCUUAUUUUGAGGGUUAAAAUCAAAUACUUGACAUAUUAUAAGGACUAAUUUUAAUAUAAAUAAAUUUUACUAGGAUUAAUAUAAAACAACAAGAAUCAAAAGAAAAAAGAGGGAUAUCUGCAAGGACUAAUAAUUUAUUUUUAAAAAAAAGGUGAAAUAAACUCUUGAUAUUUCCAGGGACGUUUUCAUUUUUAAAUCUAUUAUUAAUAAAAUUAAAUAUAAGUUAAUCCUUUUGAACAUUUUGCUUUAGAUAAGUUAGUUUUGUUUUCUUGUAAAAAAAAUGUUAUCACAUUUUUAAAGGGAAAACUAAUAUUAAUAAGCACAACUCAAAAUGUAAGAUAUGUUAAGAUAUACCCUUUAUUUUGGGAUGGGAAAAAGUUCGUAUUUGUGGAUAUCUGUGAUGGGCACGAGACAUAUGGUUUAACAAGUAUCUACAAUCCGCAGAUAAAAUAAAACGAUAUUUUAAUCACCUAUUAGUUAGUUGAUACAAAUGCAAAUAUAAUGAUAUUUAUAUCUGCAGAUAUCUAUUUCUUUUAGUAAAUUAAAUAAAACUGAUAAAAUACCCUUGACAAAAAUUCACAUGAUAAUUCUAGAGCAAUCUAAUCCUAGGCUAUCAAUAGAAAGCAAAGGAAAGAUACAAAACUUUCACCAUUUUUUGCCAAAGCAUCAGCCACCAUGUUUCUUAGUAAGCCAAAGUAUAACUUAGUAGAACAUCAAAGAUAAUCUGCUUAAUCAGUCUGGAUAAACAUGUUUGGAAAAUACAUGUUUCUUUCUAUUCGUAUUAUCUAGAUAAUAUGAAGGACUGCAUAGAUCAUUACUUGUUGUACUAGAGGUAUCCACUUGCAGUCCAGUUCCCUUCCUAAGCCAGUCCCAAACUUUUAUAGUUUCAGAGCAAUGAACGAAUAUAUAAGUGGUGGUCAAAUAUGCAACCUCUCUUUCUGAGAUUGUCAUUAGUAGGCAGUCCAUUGUGCGUAAAUCUCUAGAAAAUGAAAGCACUGGUAGGAGGAAAAAACUUAUUCCAAAUCAACUUAUUAAGACCAGUUCCUUUCAAGAGAGCAUAAGCUAGAUUGCUGGUAAGGUCACCAUUCACAGACCAGUUAAGUUUAUCAGGGCCAGGUUCCGUACGCAAAGUGAUGUUUAUGAUUUGUUGCACCAAAGUAACAUCUUUUUGGACAAAAUAAUCAGAAAUGUUCCACAAACCAUCUUCCAUCUUUCAUAUCGAGAGAACUAUGUAACUGCUCAGAGAUAUGCCAAGUAUCCACAAUAGGUCUAGCUAACCAUCUACCAGUCCAAAAAUGAACAUUUUCCCCUAUUACCAAUGGUCCAGGUAGCCUUUUGAAAGAUAGGAUGAAUAUGAUGCUUCAUGCCAUGCCAAACAGAUGAGGUGAUAUGAUGAUUAAUAGGAUUACCCUUUCUGAAGAACUUGCCUCUGCUCUUCAGAAGUGGAAGACUUCUAACAAAGAUGCAGAAAAGAAACUUGAUUCAACAAAAAAGGAAUUUUACAGCUAACCCUCUUUCCUCUCUAGGCUUGCACACCACUUUCUAAGCUGUAGUGCAGAUCUUCUGUUGGUUGACAUCACCACUUCAAAUAAAAUUCUUGAUCAUUUGUGUAAGCUUUUUCAAUAAACUGAUUGGCCACAAAUACACAUGGAAAGUAUACACUAACAUUGCUGAUUAUUGAGUUGACCAACUGAACUCCCCAUUAUAUACACAUGGAAAGUACAAAUUAAUUGAUGGAUAAUCCUAAGCUUUAAAUGACAAUAUAAUGAGGUAUAGUAUAGAGAAUGAGGGUUGGAGUUCUAAACAAGCAUUACAACAAAUUUUUUAAUGACUAAUUAAAAUUGUAAACAACAAAUGGACAUAAUAUAAUCAAGAUAAGGGUGAGAAUUGUUCGAUUAAGUUAUGUGUAUAAUAGUGAAUGUAACAAAUGGCAAUUAUGAUUCCCAUAUUGUCUGGAGUUGACGUGCAACCACUGUGUAUUUUUGCAUGUGAUGUAUAUGAAUUUUGGGCUGAGUCGAGUAAAUAUAUGAGAAUCUGAAUCUGUUUGUCUCACUUACAAGAGCAUAGUGCCAUGUUCCAUGGUACCAAGUGAAAUAGAAGUGUUGUAGGAAUUGUGCGUGCAUGUGUUGUUAUGAAAUGUGUAUUCAUGUGAGUGAUAGUGUGUCCCUUGGAAGAAAACUUAUUGCCUUGUGAAAGAUAGUGUAUGAUUUAUAGUGUUUGUCUAAUUUAUUAUUAUACAUUAUGAAACUUGAUUACUCACCCCUUUCAUGUAUUUGUGUUUGACGAUUAGGAUGACGCGCAGGCGCAAGAAACAUGUGAGAAGUAGUGCCAAGGAGCUAUUUAUAUUCGUGUUUGGAAGACUUUCUUUUAUUUUAUAUUUACGUUGUUAUUUGAUUGGCUUGCAUGUCAAGUACCUUGUAUUGGAAUUUUACUCUCAUUGCUCCGUUGGGUGACGUCGAGGGAUUCUUUUAUUAUGUUACCUAUUUGUUUAAUUACCAAAUUCAACUAUGACAUUUUGGGGGGUGUUUCUAUGUGUUUGAUGGAACACUCUUUUUAUUUCGAAAAAUUGAACAUUUUUAUAUGGACAAAUGGUAUGCAUGCUAUGUCCUAAGCCUAUGUGCUAGUGUUUUGUGAAAUCAUAUAAAAGUUUCUGUUGGAGAUAUUGCUUGGGUUUGGAAUCGGUGGAACUAUAUAAUUCAAAACAAUCAAAAAAUUUCUACAACUAUCUCUUCAACAAUGUAACAAUCAAAAUUCACCUUGAGUGAAUUCUUAUAACAACAAGAAACACUAAUAAUCAAUCAAACUGAUCCCAUAGGAAAUGAAUUCAUCUAGAUUGAUUCUUUUUUCCUCUACUAACCACAAUCUAUAGAGAAGCUUUUAACUCAAUUUGUACUACACAAUUCUUCAAUCAAAUCACUCAAAGAAAUCAAAAGGAAAAAAGUAACAAGACUGUUAUGUAAGCAACUCAAAUCAAUAUGAGUUAAUAUACUCAAACAUUUGCAUGAUCAUUCAAAUAUGCAGGAAUAUUAAACUAAGGGGGGGUUUACGAUUUGUUUGAAUUUAUUUCUUUGCGUAAAAAAUUGUUCAUCAAUAUAUCAUAUUUGUCAUCAUAAAAAAGGUAUUAGAUUCUGAGAAUCAAGUUAGUUUGAAGAACAAUAACCUGUAAUAUAUUUUGAUGAUAACAAAAUUCAUGAGAAUAUUUUUUUGCUUUAAUGUUUGUUCAAGUGUGCAGGAUAUUCUUCUAGUACGGUCAAAUGAUUUGUGCACAAAACAUUUACAGCUUCUAGACACUGUAUGUAUAACACAAUUAUUGAUGUUUUGUGCAAAGAUGAAAAUGUAUUUUGCUAUUGAAAUGGAGAGCUUAGAAAGCGAUAUGAGAUACCAAUUAUUUGUAUGAUUCUCUAUUUGCAGUUUCAUUGAUUAGUUAAAAAAAAUAACGCAAUUGUGUAUAUUUAAUAGUUACCAACUGUAUAUGGAAACAUAUCACAAAUCUGAGGUUGGGUAGCGAAUAUGAGUUUUGAUUUUAAUUUCAGUUUGUGAAUUAAUUUGAUUUGUUCAAUGUUUUGGUAAGAAGUUUGAGUUUUUCUAUUUUUCCAUCUUAGCUGUUUUUUCACAACUUCAUUUUUUCCCACCUUUCUUUUAGUUUUUAAUUUUUAAACAACUACAAAUUAAAAUAGCCUCUUGUUUUUAUUUUUUUAAUGGCUAAUGUUUUUUUUUGAAUUUCCAUCCUUUUUUAUUAAACAAACAAAGCAGCCGGAGCGCGGCCUACAACAGAGUUACAAAAAGGAGAAGGGAAAUGGCUUGGAGGGGCAUUCCCCUGCCAACAUCUAGUGCCUAGAGACUUUGCCAAAGAGGCUAAGUUAUGAGCUUCAACAUUGAGCUCUCUACAAACAUGAAUAACCAUUACAAAUGGGAUUUGUUCAAUUAAUUUCCAGCAAUCAACUAUAACCGGUUCUGUGGAAGCAACCACACUGAUUUUAUUGACACAAUUCACUACAUUGAGAGUGUCACUAGACAAAACCAGAUUCUGAAUAUGCAUCCCCACUGCCUCCUGCAGCGCCCAUCUGACUCCCAUCGCCUCUGCCAGGCUCGGUUCAACAUCCACAUCAUCCAGCUUGCACUUACUAAGGGUGGUUGUGCCCAGAUGGUCUUUCAAAAUCAUUCCCCAUCCUGUCUGGCCAUUGGGAAAGCAACCAGCAUCCACAAACAUAUGGUGGCUUGCAGUCUGGACCGUGAUAGCUGUCCCCCCCCCCCCCCCCCCCCCCCUUUGGCUGAUUUGCUGGGGUCUUUGCUUGGCAUUGGCUACGUUAAAAUCCUGGACAAAUUGGACGGCAGAUUGUGCUAUAGUGACAGGUUCAGCGGAAUCUCCUUUGAAGACAGCUUGAUUUCUUGCAUACCAAAGCUUCCAUAGGAUAACACAAAACAAUUGGGGCCCCUCUUUGUUAUGGCAUGUGAGCCAUUCCAGCAGCCAGCAGUGCAUAUCAGUGUUAAUGGGGGCAUGGGAUCCCAAAGGUGAGGCAGACAUAGAGAGUUUUGCUAGUUGACAGUUCAUGAAAAGAUGUUCCACAGUUUCCACAUCAGCAUGACAUAUAGGGCAUAAAGUGUCGAGAGAAAUACCUUUCCUCUGCAGAUUUUGCCUAGUUGGGAGGAUGUUCUUUGCCAAGCACCACAUGAAGUUCUUCACCUUGUUGGGAAUUGAUGUCUUCCAAAUUUCCUUCCAUAGUCUCUCGUUCCUGUGGUGGGACGGGCCCCGGUUGGAGGUUUUCUCUGAUCUUGCUCAAUAAGUGAUAGGCUGACGGAACAGUGUAACAACCAUUUUUCUCCCAAUGCCAACAUAUUUUGUCUUUGGGGAGAGAUUGGGAGAGAGGGAUACUCACAAUUUUUAGAGCCUCCGGCUGAUUGAAAAUACUAUAAAUUAAGCUUCUAUUCCACUGUCUGGUGGUAGGAUCCACCAGAACUUCAACCAAAUCUUCCUCCCCUAGAUUACAUGCAUCACUCUUUGAAGUUAGCAGUUCCAUGUUCGGCAUCCAAGCACCCUUCCAGAUUCUAAUGCUUUUACCAUCACCAACUAUCCAUCUCCCUCCUUUCUAUACCACUUCACGCGCACUAAUAAUGCUUCUCCACCCAUAGCUAGGUUGAUAUCUGGUUGUUGCCUCCAUAAAGGUGCCUCUAGGAUAGUAUCUACUUUUGAACACCUUUUGAAGUAGAGAGUUAUCACCAUUGGACAGCCGCCAGCAGUGUUUCCCCAGAAGGGCUUUGUUAAAGUCAUAGAAACCACGGAAUCCCAAUCCACCUCUACCUUUAGCUUUGGAUAGUCUAGUCCAGCUCAUCCAAUGGAUCUUCCUUUCCUCAUCUUUAGACCCCCACCAAAAAUUUGCUAGCAUGGAGUCAAUGUCUUUAGAGCAUCCCUCCGGUAGUUUGUAGCAGCUGAGAAUGUAGUUCGGAAUUGCUUGGGCAACAGCCUUGAUAAGAGUUUCUUUCCCCGCCCUCAAUAAGAACCUCUCUUUCCAUCCCUUUAGUUUCUUCCAAACCCUGUCCAUAACUCCCGUGGAAAUGACCUUCUUAAACCUACCAAACGGAACGGGAAAGCCUAAGUAUCUUGACUGAGCUUCCACUGCCUUAACUUCCAUCAUUUCGUAGAUUGUAUGAAUAUCUUCGCUUGGCACAUUUCGGCUAAAGGUUGCUUCAGAUUUAUCAAGAUUCACUACUUGUCCGGAGGCUCUUUCAUAUCUGGUGAGGAUGGACAUAAUCUUCUCGGCUUCCCCCUGGUUUGCUCUAGAAAACAGUAAGCUGUCGUCUGCAAAGAAAAGAUGCAAUAUUUGAGGGGUGCUCCUUGCAAUUUUGACACCAUGUAUGCUUUGUUUUAUGACUUCAUUACGGAGGAGUCCUUGAAGGUAAAUCGACAUUAACAGAAUAAGCAGCGGAAUAAAAUUUUGAUUUACUUUCUCAGCAGUUCUCAACAUAGCUGCAAGCUGUGGUAGUGUCUUGUCCAUAUCAUUCAUUAGAAAGUUCUGGACAAAACCGUUGAAGCUUUCAGGCAACGAUUGCAGCACAAGAUCAACGACUAGCUCUUGUUCAAGGACAAAUCCCAAACGAGCUAGGUUUUCAGAGUACCCAAUCAUUUUGAGCACAUGAGGUCCUACGGGACCUCCCUCUGACAGCUUGGUGGAAAACAGGGCUUUAGAGACAUCAAGCCUCUCAUGCCUGGCUUGCUCUUCAUAAAGAGUCUUCAGAUGUUCGAUCAUAUCGAACGCUAUCAUCCCUUCAUGUUGUUUUUGCAGCUCGGGAGUCAUUGAAGCCAGCAUGAUGCAUAAAACUUCUACGGAAUCAUUGAGAUGCUUGGCAUGAGCAUUUCUUAGAGCCGCAGAAGCUCCAGCAGGAGGUGCCUCAGGAAUGGGUCCAUCCAGCACAUACAACUUUUUUUCGUGGGUGAGGACAAUCCUCAUGUUACGGGACCAGUCUAUAAAAAAAAAUUCAGUCAAUUUUUCCUUUUCGAUGAGGGAUCGCAAAAUGUUUGUGGAAGCGUUAUUGGCCAUCUACAAUUUAAAAUGUGCAAAAUAAGUAUCAUGAAAAUAUAUUUAAUUUGGUCUUUAAUUAAAUACGCUCCCACUAUUUUACUCAAAUCAAAUGACCUUCAAACAUUUGACUCGGAAAAUCCCGUUGGAAGAUUUUCUAGUGGAUUGAAAUCCUUAUUUCACCUUGUUUUAAGUCAACGGGGGCUGUACUUAAAACUUAGCUAUUUAGGUAGGAACAUUUCCAAUUGUAUCUUAUACAACUUUCAAAUCAAUUGGCGGAAUAACUCUUUAUUCAAUCCUAUCAUAUAGAAGUCGUCCAAUUAUAGCUUCUAAAUUUAUUCUAAUCUUAUUAAAAUUAAUUUAGUUAAGUUUGACCCAAAAGAAUAACACUUGGAUAAAUUGGAUUACCGCACCGCAACUUACUAGUAUAGAAUAUGCGCUUUACGGAGGCAAAACCCACAUAUUCGAUAUUAGUCUUGAAGGGUGUUAAACUUUUGGAAAGCUUUAAACUUAAUAUUUAAAUUGAAGGAUUUUUAUUAAAUUUGAUCUCACCUCACCACGGCUUAUAUAUCACAUAUAUUCGCACUCCAAUCAAAACAUGCAUAACAUUUAUACAAAAUAAAAGUGACAUGAUUAUGGCCAUCCUAACGCUAUGACUCUCUCAAGCCAAUGAGAGAAUCUAAACUAAUCCUAGAAACGACCUUGCUUCUCCAAGCUUGACUUCCAGGACUAUCCUUACGUCUUGAUCCCUAUUACCUCCUUUGUAUUCUAUUUACAUUACAUAUGAAGAAAACUCGUUUUACAUACGAGGGAGUGGAUGAGAAGAGAAUGUACAAUAGAGAUAUAAGAGAAAGGCACGACACGCAGGCCGUAUUUUAAAAUCCAAAAGAAAUAAAAUAAAAGGACUAAGGCCAUAAUCAUUCACAUGAUAAUAAUAACAAACACACUUUUAUUAUUAUUAAUUAUUCCUUAUAAUUAAAUAAAUUAAAUUAAAAUUCGACAUAUGAUCACCCUACGCGGAAGCUAAUUCAGCAUGAACGAUUCACUUUGAAUUAGCACCGCAUUUCGCAUCAACAAUUGACACGUUUCUGAUUACCCUAAUCGUUUCGGCAAACCCUAAUUCUGUUACAACAAUCUGAUCUUUAUUAAACAAGUACUCUGAUUGUUUAUUCACGUAUCAUGACCGAGUCUAGGAUGCUUCACCAGAGUACACAGAAUCGGUUACGAAGCUCCAUACAUCAGAUCAAUUAACAUGAAAAAUAUCAUCUGACUUAUUUAAACUAUGAUCAAAUCCAGUAUAUCAUAUAUACCGUUGUUACACAGAAUUUACCAAUUAUGCUUCUGUCAAUAUGAAUGAUCGAAAGGUUUGAUGUUUCACCAGAAACGGUUUCUGAAACAUCAAAACGGUUCGAAAAGCCAUGCACAUACACGUGAUUGAUAUUAUUAUUAGCUGCGUUUUAUGAUCGAUAAAUCAUGUUUCUUUCGAUAUGUAUAAUCGAAACGUCGAUGUUUCACCAGAAACGGUUUAUGAAACAUUGAAUCAAAUCGAAAACACAUGCACAGAAAGCAUAAUAUGAUGCGAUGCCAAUUUUAAUUUUCUUUAUUAUUUAUGUUCGUUCAAUAUGUUUAAUCAAAAUUAAAACAUAAAGCAGUAACAAAGCAAUCCGAUUCAAGGUUUCGUAAUUGGCUCUGAUACCACUGAAGGUAAAUCGACAUUAACAGAAUAAGCAGCGGAAUAAAAUUUCGAUUUACUUUCCUUGGAUCAUUACGAAUUGGAACUUGAACCAGUGAUUCGAUUGUUACCUUGAACGAUUAGUCUGAAACGAUCGGUGCAAUCUGCGAACCGGAAUCACGAUCACAGCCAAGCAAACAGCAGAGCCUCUAUCGAGUCCACACGAACAGUGCUCCUCCAAAACCUCGGUGCUAGCCAAGAAGACGGAAGUCAGAGAACUAGGGUUUCUGCAAAGAAUACGUAACCGCAAACUAUUGCACUAGGGUUCUAUUUAUAGAACUCCUUAUGUGCUUUGCAAUUCAAACUCGUUUUUGACUUCACUAAGCCCAAUACGAGUUUAGCAAAUAUUGCUAAACCAUUAGCAUUAUUUACUAAGCGCACCCUUUAUAUAAGUCAUACUUAUACAUAUCUCUUUUGACUGCUCUUUGUGUGUGACCCUUUAGGUUCUAGUCACAUUGGCAAUGAUAUUAAAUCUAAUAUUUAAUACCAUAAACAAUGAGCGGUAUGUAGCAACACAUCAUUGCUACCCAAGUGACAAGAAUGUCAAGUGAUCUGACGAAACCUUUCAUGAUAAUACAUAUGUGUAUAAUUACUCCUUUGUCUCAAUAUCUUCAUUGAUCCCAAGGCAUAGAUAGUGUCACCCUUGUAUAGAUCAAUGUUUAUUUAUCUUGAUUCCGAAAUAUACUAUUUAACGAAUAAGUCCAAUAUCUUAUAUUGACUUAGUUCGGCAUGGCCAUGCAUAUUUAUAGUCAUAUUUCAUCAAGAGGCCUAAAGAUAUAUCUCCUGUUUAUGAGGAGGGACAAAUCCCAUCUAGGACACUCAUGACCCUCAGCAUGAUUCAUCAAGUACCCAUCAACCAACGUUAUUGUUAUCCUUUUACAGACAACGUUAGAAUGGCAACAAAGCACUUGAGUCCACAUCUAGAGAUCAUAGUGGUUUCAGGUCUAAGAGCGGUAUACAUUAUUAUCAUUGUGAGAAUAUCUUAUGAAAAUUUCAUAACUUACUAUGUAGUAUUCUCACAGUGGGUCAAUCCAAUAUAAAUAUUACUCCUAACAUUUAUAUCUAUGUAUAGACUUGAUAUCUCAUAUCUAUGACCCAUGAGAUGCGGUCAUCAGUCUACAUACAUAAUAGUCUCGACGCUUUAUUAUUAUCCUUUAUUCAUAUUAAAGCUUUGACUACGGAUACAUUUAAGAAUAGCGUUCUAUAAGAUAAUGUAAUCUCAUGAUUAAGUCACACUUAAUAUAUUAUUACACGAACUAUCUAUUCUAAGGACUUUAUUAACAUUAUCUAAAUAUAAUAAAGAGUGCCAUAUAUUAUUCAAUAAUAAAAGUCAUGAUACAUAAGAUAGGUUUCUCAUAAACUAUUGGCCUCUAGGGCUUACACCAACAGUCCUGAGAGAACAUCUGUACAAAGAAUAAACAAAUAGGGUGAGAGUGGGUCUCUCUGUCUCAAUCCUCUCUCCGGGGUGAACGAUGAGCUUGGUUGACCGUUGAUGAGAAUUUGGUACGAGACCGUAGUGAUGCAUUUCAUUAUCAAAUCCACCAGUCUCCUCGGGAAUCCCAUAGAUUUCAGCACUUGCUCGACAAAGGACCACUCUAUUCUAUCAAAGGCUUUUGACAUAUCAAGCUUGAGGGCCAUAAUCCCCUUCUUUCCUUUCUUCUUCUUCUUAAGCCAAUGGAAUCACUCCAUUGCUAUCAAGGCAUUGUCAGUAAUAAACCUCGAAUCCCCUUUGUUUAUACACUCAAGCUCAAUGUGCCCACUUUGAUUUUAUUGCCUAACCCAUCUCGGACUAACACCGAGGUGGAAGAAAAUUUGUUGUAUGUUAAUGAUGACCCACAGGUGCACAUAGAACAGCGUAAUGAAGAAGCAGAAGGUGCCCACUUGCACUAAGAAGAGGAAGGUGCACAAAUGCACCAUGAUGAGGAGCACCAUAACCAUGAUGAAGGUGAAACAAAUGAAAAUGCACGAUGGGCAUGGAUGAAUAUCGAGGUCGAAAGGAUAAGCACCGAGCAACAAAGGCAAGGUGUUGAAUUAAUGGGAAUAAGGAACGAUGUCCAAAGGGGCAACCGCAUAUCCGAAGAGAACAACCAAAUGCUUCGGAACAUGAUGCACCACUUUCACCUCCAAGGUCCUCCAUAUGGACCUCAAUGAUAAAAAUUUGAGCUUUCCUCUUCCUCUCUUCCCUUCUUUCUCCUUCUCCUCCUCCUUCUUCUUCUUCUUCUCCACUGAAUGUUGGUGAGUAUUUGAGAUUGAGUUCUUGUGUUACCAACCAUGUUCUUGAAGUUCUUGUGUUACCCAUAUCCAGCAGAUUGCAAUCAUUCACAGUAUUUCGGCCUAGAGCAAGUUGAGAUUGAGUUCUUGUGUUACCACCCUUCUUCUCCUCCACUGAUAGAACAUCGUUAAAAUCACCCAUACACAUCCACUUCCUACCCACCUGAGAGGAUAAUUGUUCAAUCAGCUGCCAGGUCUUCUUCUUAUUGUUCUCUUCCGGAUAGCCAUAAAUACCAGUAAUAUCCCAUUUCUCAGCUUCCUCUUCAUCAACACAUUGACCAUGGAUAUGAUUAAUGGAGUACGAUAUUAUGGUGAUGUCAAUGUUGUCAUGCCAAAGAAGAGACACACCUCCUGCCCUUUCCCUACCAACACCUCUACAAUCCACAGAUAAACCACAGUUGAAUCCCCAUCUAUGUUUGAAAGGUACCAUUUCAGAACUUUUUAAUCUAGUCUCCAUAAGGAAUACAAUAUGGGGUUUUUCUUUAGUAACGAGUGAUGAGUCAUUUAUUGACUAUUUUAAUAUGCUUUUUAGUCUAGUUUUAUUUACAUUUUAUUUUAUUUUAUAUUAGUAUUAUUUCCUUUUUAGGAUAGUUUACUUUAAAUUGCAUUUUAUUUUAUUUUAUUUUAGGAAUGAAUAUUGGAUGGAUUGAGUCUUGGAGCAAAAGAAAGGGACUUGGAGCGGAUUGGAUGCAAAAAUAUGAAGAUUGAGAGACAAAAAUAUGUCUCCCCCAAGUCAGAAGCCUGACACGGCCCGUGCUAGCCUUGGCACGGUCGUGCCACCCUCCAGAGUCACUUUUGCUGCUUUUGCUUAGAUUUUAAGCUACUCUAUUUUUAGCCCGAAUGUAAUAGCUUAGAUUUUAAGUCGAACAAAUGCUAUAAAUAGAGUAGCCAUCCAUCACAAAUAUUCAUCUUUACUUGGAAUACAAUAAGUGCCAAUUGCUUUUCUAAUUAAAGUUCUUUUCUUUUCCUUUAUUUUCUUGUCAUUUACUUUUAUGCUUCCUCUCUUCUCCCCCAUGUCUACGAUGAACAUGAGUGCGUAGACUUCUCCUUGUCUUGGGAUUGUUGGAUAAGUCUAAAUGAGAUAAUCCUAAUCAAACCAAGCUCUAAGCCUUAAUCUUAUGUAACCCUAAUUUCUUAUCUAAAUUCACCGCUUUAACAUGGAUCAACCAUUAUCAAACUGUGGAAACGAAAGUGGAGGGUUUGAUAAUUGUUUAUCCAUUAUUCCAAAUAUCAAUUCAUAAAACGAAAGUGGAGCUUUGAUAUUCGAACAAGUGAAUUUUGACAAGGAUUGCAAAGUCAGCGAAAUAGGCUUUGCAAUCUUUGAGACAUAUAGUUUCGAUCUUCAAGGGAACUAAUAACGAUCAAGUCAGCGAAAUAGGCUUGGUUGUUAGAGGAACCAAAAUUUAAUAGUAAUCUAGUCAGCGAAAUAGGCUUGGUUGCUAGAGGAACAUAAGAGAAACUGUCUUGAGAAAUUAGGUCUAACAUAACAUUAUAAGUUUAUAGUUUUGGUUUGAGAAGGACUUGUUAUUUAGAUGAAACCAACGAUCCCAAGGCUCUUUUUAUAUUAUUAAUUUUCAACGCUUGAAAACCCCCAACUUACAAUUCUUUUCUCUUCUAAUCAUUUCUAAAGGUUAAUUGAAUUGAACUACUCCCUGUCGGAACGAUACUCUUUUAAUACUACUUCGGUAAGACCGUGCAGUUGCGGUUUUAUCUCAUCAAUGAGCCUUGACAAGGCUCGAACUGCUCGAGGGUUCCCCAACCCCCGACAGUUCCAACUUAUGAUUUUCAUUGGUCUAGGCGGUGUUGGUCAUCCAACACCCCCUUUAGGUUUUGUGAAAUGUUCUCCUCUCCUUUACUCUUCUUCAAUUUCUCCCCCAUACAAAGAUCCAUUGGGACUGCCUCUUGGAUGUUCACCUCCACUAGUUGUCUCUUCCCUAGCUCAAUAGCCAAAGCCUCUUGUAUUUUUUAUUUUUUGUUUGGCUGUCUAGCCCAUUUCCCUUUCUGCUCUGUAGCUGGCUUUUCCUUGGUCGUAGAACCCAUAUCACACACAGCAGCCUGCUCCUUAGAUAUAACCACAUUACCUAGAGAUUCUGCCACGCCCUCCACCUCCUUUUGUGUCUUCUCAACAAUUGCCUCUCUCUCCCUUUCCUCCCCCAUCAACCUCGGUGUUCCUUUGUCAGUUGGUUGUUCAACUUCCGCCUCUUUAUCCCCAUUACCUUGCGGAGUACCCUUGUUGCUGCUAGUUUCAGAAAAUAAACUUUUGCUGCAAGACCCGGAACUCUGUUCCAUUUUAACCUCUCCCGUGAUUCUUGGUAUAGGAGAAUGUAACGUCCUAGUUGUUAUAUUUAAUUAAUUUGAAUUAUGUGGAGUAUAUAUAUAUUUAAAUAUGAUGUUUGGUGAUUUAUGGGGAGUAUAUAUAUAUAUAUAUAUAUAUAUAUAUAUAUAUAUAUAUACUCCACAUAAAUCACCAAACAUCAUAUUUAAAUAUAUAUGAAGGUGAUCAUGUUUUUCUUAGGGUCACUCCUUUGACGGGUGUCGGUCGUGCUUUGAAGUCGAGGAAUUUGACUCCUAAGUUCAUCGGUCCGUAUCAGAUUUCAGAGAGAGUUGGAAUAGUGGCAUAUAGAGUUGGUUUGCCACCACAUCUUUCGAAUUUGCAUGAUGUGUUUCAUAUUUCUCAGCUUCGGAAGUAUGUAGCGGAUCCUUCACAUGUGAUUCCGAGGGAUGAUGAUGUACAGGUUAGAGACAACCUGACAGUUGAGACUAUGCCAUUGAGGAUUGAUGACAGAAAGGUGAAGUCCUUGAGAGGUAAAGAGAUACCUCUUGUGAGAGUCGUUUGGGGUGGAGCGACUAGUGAAAGUUUGACUUGGGAGCUGGAGAGUAAGAUGCGGGAGUUGUAUCCGGAGUUGUUCGCUUGAGGUAAGAUUUCGAGGAUGAAAUUCUGUAAUUUGGGGAGAGUUGUAACGCCCUAGUUGUUAUAUUUAAUUAAUUUGAAUUAUGUGGAGUAUAUAUAUAUUUAAAUAUGAUGUUUGGUGAUUUAUGUGGAGUAUAUAUAUAUAUAUGUGUGUGUGUGUGUGAUUUUUGGGUGAUUUAUGUGGUGUAUUAUGUUAUUAUAUGGUUUAUUUAAUAAUAAUUAGAAUAAGUGUGAAAUAAUAAUUAUUUUGGUGUUUGGGGGGAUUAAUAGGAGUUAAUAGAAAUUAUGGGGAGUUAAAUGAAAAUAGUAGGGAGUUACAAUUAAUGGGAAGUUAAGAAAAGGAUGGAUGUCAGAAAACCAGUUUCACGUAAAAACCAACUUUGGGAGAAGAAGGAGAGAAGAGCAACUUAGAACCAGAGGAACCCUUUUUGCUGUGCAUUUUUCAUUCUGAAUUAAGGUAAGGGUGAGGUUUACUUCAAUAUUGUAGCUAUUAAAUUUUGAUUUUGUGUUUAACAGAGUUUUGGUGAGAAUUGGGAUUUUUGGGGUUUUAUGUUGAAUUGUUUAACAGAGGUUUACUUCAAUUAUGUAUCUGUAAACUAAUUUGGGGAGUGAUUGGAAGAAAAAUGGAAUUUUUGGGAAAAACCAGUUUUCUGCCCGUACAGAAGUUCAUCGCUCGCCUCGCGAGCAUUCAUGUUUCGCCUCGCGAGUGAGCAACUUCAUCGCUCGCCCCGCGAGCAUACCAACUCGCCAUGGCGAGCAAGCCUGGAUAAAACUUGAUUUUUGAAAAGUUGUUAUAAGAUGUUUUGGGGAUGGUUUAAGGUACCUAGAUGAUUUUAAUGAUGAAUGAUGAAAGUUUUAGGUUAAAAGAAUGAUUAGGGAACUUAGAAUUGGGAUUUGAGUGAGAAAAUGGCAUUUUUCCCGAGAGCACCUAAUUUUCACUCGCCUAGAGUUCGCCUUGAACUCGCCAUGGCGAGCAAGUAGUUUUGUGAACUCGCCAUGGCGAACAGAUGUGCUCGCGAGGCGAGCUGCACAGUUCUUGAGUGUUGAAUUUUGUGCAUGAAUGGUAGUGGUUUAAUGUUGAUGUGUUGAGCAUAGUUUCAUGUAAUUUUGCAUUAUUUUGGUUGAUUGGAUUGUUGAAUUGAUGAUUACUGAUGAUGAUUGAAAUGUAUGCUAAUUAUUGAAUCAUACAUGUUGUUUAAGUGGAGUCACAUGGAGUUGCAUUGCAUGGUCAGUUGUAUGUAGAUAUACACAAGUAGGUCCAUUGCAUAUGCAUAAAACAGCGGUGAGGGCUUCGGUCCUGAUGAAUGCUUUAACCAUUCAAAAGCGGUGAGGGCUUCGGUCCUGAUGAACGCUUUAACCAUUCAAAAGCGGUGAGGGCUUCGGCCCUGUUUGGUACCACAUGCAUAUUGCAUCCAUUGAGAAGUCUAAGAUGGUGUCUUAGUAGUGUUGUCAUGUCAUUUGCAUAAGUCUUAGUUGUUGAUUGCGGCUACUACUUGAUGAUUGAUGUUGUUGAUGAAUAUGUAUUUAUAUAUUCUUUGUGAUGGUGGUAUAUUGAUGAUGUUGUUGUUGCUUGUGAAUUAUAUAUAUAUAUAUAUAUAUAUAUAUAUAUAUAUAUAUAUAUAUAUGUUUGCAAGAUGAUGUGUUUGUGGAUUAGGGUGUUAGAUUCAAUUGAAGAUUUUAAUAUCUAUAUUUAUUGUUGUGAAUCUCACCCCUUCUGCUUGAAAAUGUUGCCCUUCCUAUGGGUAACUUGCAGGUGAUCCUGAGUAGUUGGUGGUGGCUCAAUGCCGUGUCUAGGGCUCUGAUACAUUCGGGAUGGGUUUUAUUUGUUGUAUUUCAUUCCUUAUGUAUCUCAUUUUGAAUCUUGUUGUUAUGGCCCUAUGAAGGUUGAAAUUGUUGUUAGGCUAAUGCCAAGAUGAUGUCUGGAGGAUUUUAACUGUUUUUGAUGUUGUUGAAUAACCUUCCGCUGCUGUUUAAAUGAUGUUUGACGCUGUUUAAUUAAAUAGUUUCAUAUGCUAUUUAAGAAUUUUGAAACUGCAAUGUAGCAUACCCGUUUGGUAAAAUACUCUGAUGAUUAUUCGUUAUUUAAUUACUUUUGGGUAACGGGGUGUUACAAUUUGGUAUCAGAGCAGGUUGGUCCGUCCGGCCAAGCAGUAGAGUCGUGUUGAGCCACCUAGGAUAGAGUGUCAACUUUAAUGUUGCUUUUUGUUGUUGUUCUGAGUUGUUGUUUGUCGUGUAGAAUUUCGAGAUGACUGGAAGUAGUGAUGCUGCGCUUGAGGCAGUAGCUCAAGCUGUUCAACAGCAACCUAAGGUUGAGACUGGUAAUGAUGGAACCAGAAUGCUGGAAACUUCCUUGAGGAAUCAUCCACCAACAUUCAAGGGUAGGUAUGAUCCUGAUGGUGCUCAGAAAUGGCUGAAAGAGGUUGAAAGGAUUUUCAGGGUCAUGCAGUGUUCAGAGAUUCAGAAGGUGCGGUUUGGGACUGAUGACAGUCCGUCAUUCGCUAUUUCUAGAGUCUUUUUAUAUUUAUUUUAAUCACAAAGUGGAGUUCACAAGGCAACUUAUGCAGCAAAAGAGUUGAAAACUGAAGGAAACUGAAGAAAAUACAAAGAAGAGAAUCGUGCCACGAUUUGGUAAAAACGUGACACGAUUUUAGAAGACAAAAAAUCAAGCAUUAGACAUUGAAGAAAUCGUGUCACGAUGGCAUAAUCGUGACACGAUCUGACGAAACCCUAAUUCAGCGAUUUGCGAUUCAAGGAGAAUCGUGCCACGAUUUUAGGCAAAAUUCUGUGCCUAUUUAAGCUGAAGACUAUUCUGAAAACAAGGGUUACGAUUUGGAGAGAGCCAAGUGCGAUUUUGAGACCUCAAGACGGCUAGGAGGGCGAUUUCUUCAACCUUCUAUCAGUUUGUGUAUGUUUUAAUUCCGCUAUUGAUUAUGCUAUUUGUAAACUCAAUUAUGAGUAGCUAAAUCUCUUAGAGAUUAGGUCUGAGAUGAUUCUUUGUAACCCUAAUUGAACCAUGUUGCUGUGAAACUCUAUUUAUUGUGAAUGACAAUCUAGUUUUUAUUCAAUUCAAUUGUUCUUAAUGCUUUUUAUAUCCUGAUCAAAUAUAAACAUGAUUUAGUGAGAAUGAAUCACUACUGACCAUAGCUUUCUACUUUGACAGAAUUGAAUUGUUCUAAUAAACAGGGUUAGUCUAGGAAUGGAUAAUCGUUUGUUAGUGAUAUUAGGUUAACGUGCUUUAAACCUUCAAAGAUUAUUAGACCACCUAAGGAAUUAGGGGUUGUAGUCUGAGAAGAGGGUUCUAACUCAAGGGAUUGAUUAGGACUAUUUUGUUAACUAUCGUGGAACUAGAAAAUCAUUCAUAAGAAUAGGUGCAGUAUACCAAUUAGGGGAACAUAGAUGACUCGAAAGACCUGAUCUCAUCUCUCUCUUAUUCUUUCCAACUCUAUCUUUAUUUUAUGUUAUUUAAUUUUAUGCAAACCAAAACUACUGCCUCAGGCACUAAAAGAAAUUUACACAUCCUAGAUAUUAACUUUAUUGCUAAAUUGAGAUUAACACAGUUCUCGUGGGAACGAUAUUUUUACUACUUCCAUAGUAUUUAGUACAUGAUGAGUCAUUUAUAUGUUAUUUUAAUAUGCUUUCUAGUUUAGAUUUUAUAUAAAUUUAUAUUAGUAUUAUUUCCUUUUUAGGAUAGUUUACUUUAAAAUGCAAUUUAUUAUAUUUCAGGAAGGAAUAUUUGAUGGAGAGAGUCUUGGAGCAAAAGAAAGGGAUUUGGAGCAGAUUGGACACAAAAACAUGAAGAUUGGGAAGCAAAAUAUAUCUCCCACAAGUCAGAAGCUUGGCACGGCCCGUGCUAGCCUUGGCACGGCCGUGCCACCCUCCAGAUGUCUUUUGCUGCUUUUGCUUUGACUCCAAGCUAUUCUAUUUUGGCGCACAAUCUACCGAGGAAUAUUCUAGGAAUAUACUUGCUUAGAUUCUAAGUCAAUUGUGUACUAUAAAUAGAGUAGCUAGCCAUCACUAAUAUUCAUCUUUACUUGGAAUACAAUAAGUGACAUUUGCUUUUCUAAUUAAAGUUCUUUUCCUUUAUUUCUUUGUCUUUUACUUUCAUGCUUUCUCUCUUCUCCCCCAUGUCUACGAUGAACAUGAGUGAGUAGACUUCUUCUUGUCUUGGGAUUGUUGGAUAAGUCUAAAUGACAUAAUCCUAAUCAAACCAAGCCCUAAGCCUUAAUCUUAUGUAACCCUAAUUUCUUAUCUGAAUUCACCGUCUUAACAUGGAUUAACCAUUAUCAAACUGUGGAAACGAAAGUGGAGGGUUUGAUAAUUGUUCGUCCAUUAUUCCAAAUAUCAAUUCAUAAAACGAAAGUGGAGCUUUGAUAUUCGAACAAGUGAAUUCAGACAAGGAUUGCAAAGUCAGCGAAAUAGGCUUUGCAAUCUUUGAGACAUAUAGUUUCGAUCUUCAAGGGAACUAAUAACAAUCAAGUCAGCGAAAUAGGCUUGGUUGUUAGAGGAACCAAAAUCCAAUAGUAAUCAAGUCAGCGAAAUAGGCUUGGUUGCUAGAGGAACAUAAGAGAAACUGUCUUGAGAAAUUAGGUCUAACAUAACAUUAUAAGCUUAUGGUUUCGGUUUGAGAAGGACUUGUUAUUUAGAUGAAACCAACGAUCCCAAGGCUCUUUUAUUAUAUUAUUUUUAACCGUUUAAAACCCCCAAUUUACAACCUUUUCUCUCUUCUAAUCAUCUCUAAAGGUUAACUAAAUUAAACUACUCCCUGUCGGAACGAUACUCUUUAUUACUACUUCGGUAAGACCGUGCACUUGCGGUUUUAUCUCAUCAAGUUUUUGGCGCCGCUGCCGGGGAGUAAACUAAUUUAAUUAACUCUUUCUUUGUGAUUAGAACUCCCUUCUCUUUUCUCUCCCUUUUCUCUCUCUUCUAUUAUUUUUUUACCACUAACUUCUUCCUUCUUUCUUCCUACACCUGAUUUGGGAGACCUAAAGAUAAUAGAUAACAUGGCUGAGGAACGCACUCUUAAGGAGUAUUCGAUCCCUUCUUCGGAUGAGCCAUGCACUAUUAUAGUCUAUCCAACAGUUCAAGGUAGCAACUUCAAAAUAAAACUUGCACUACUAAUUCUAGUACAACAAAACCAGUUCUCUGGAUCACCUUCCGAGGACCCAAACUUGCAUAUCUCAAACUUUUGGAGACUUAGUGUAACUUGCAAAGACGACCAAGAAACCGUCAGGCUACAUCUCUUCCCUUUUUCUCUAAAAAAUAAAGCUAGCAAUUGGUUUAACUCCUUGAAGCCUGGCUCCAUUACCUCAUGGGACCAACUGAGGCGAGAAUUCCUUUGCCGUUUCUUUCCCCCAUCCAAAACUGCCCAACUUAGGGGAAAGCUUUACCAAUUUACUCAAAUGAACGGGGAAUCUCUUUUCGAUGUGUGGGAACGUUUUAAGGAAAUACUUAGACGUUGUCCCCACCACGGUCUUGAAAAAUGGUUAAUUAUCCAUAUAUUUUAUAAUGGUCUAACAUCUAGCACUAAAUUGACCAUUGAUGCAGCUGCAGGUGGUGCCCUAAUGAACAAGGACUUCACAACAGCUUAUGCGUUGAUUGAGAACAUGGCUCUAAACCUCUUCCAAUGGACAGAAGAAAAGGAAACCGUCGAUCCUUCACCCUCUGAAAAAGAGGCAGGUAUAAAUGAAACCUCUUCCAUUGACUAUUUAUCUACCAAGCUGAAUGCAUUAUCUCAAAGACUUGAUCGUAUGAGCACACCUACCUUCUCACCUCCUUGUGAAACAUGUGGCCUAUCUAGUCAUUCCGACACCGAUUGCAACCUAACUAGUGUUGAGCAGUUAAAUUUUGUUCAGAAUGGCCAAAGAGUUGUUCAAAAAUCUCACAUUGAACUUUUAAUGAAAAACCUUUUUUUCAAACAAUCCGAACAGCUCCAAGAGCUCAAGGAUCAAACUAGACUUCUGAACAACUCUCUUGCCACUCUCACAACAAAGAUAGACUCCAUCUACUCUCACAACAAAAUUUCUGAAACUCAACUCUCCCAGGUAGUUCGUAAGGCCGGCCACCCCAAUAAAAUGAAUGCUGUUACACUUAGGAGUGGUAAGCCACUCGAGGACCCCAUAAGGAGAACCGAGACCGAUCACAGUGAGAAAGAGAUCCGCGAGCCACCAUCUAGGGAAACCAGGGCAGAAAAAGAGGAACCACGAGUUGAGGGAAACACAACACCUCCCUUUAAGCCAAAAAUUCCCUUCCCACAAAGGUUUGCCAAAUCAAAACUAGAUGAGCAAUUCAAAAAAUUCAUGGAGAUGAUGAACAAGAUAUAUAUUGACGUGCCAUUUACCGAGGUCCUAACCCAAAUGCCCACAUAUGCUAAAUUUUUGAAAGAAAUCCUCUCAAAAAAAAGAAAGAUUGAGGAGAGUGAGACGGUUAACCUUACGGAAGAAUGUAGUGCCAUCAUCCAAAAUAAAUUGCCACCAAAGCUUAAAGACCCAGGUAGUUUUUCCAUACCUUGUGUCAUAGGGUCGGAAGUUGUGAAAAAAGCUAUGUGCGAUCUAGGAGCCAGUGUCAGCCUAAUGCCCUUAUCACUUUAUGAGAGGUUGGGAAUAGGGGAACUUAAAUCAACAAGGAUGACCCUCCAACUAGCGGACCGUUCUGUUAAGUAUCCAGCUGGAAUCAUAGAAGAUGUCCCCGUUAAGGUAGGAGAGGUAUACAUCCCCGCCGAUUUUGUUGUAAUGGAAAUGGAGGAAGACAAUCAAGUACCAAUUCUUUUGGGAAGACCUUUCCUUGCCACCGCAGGUGCUAUCAUUGAUGUAAAAAAGGGCAAGCUUGCCUUCAAUGUAGGUAAGGAAACUGUUGAAUUUGAGCUGGCUAAACUAAUGAAAGGUCCCUCCAUUAAGGACUCUUGUUGCAUGAUAGACAUAAUCGACCAUUGCGUGAAAGAAUGCUCUUUAGCAUCAACUACACAUGAUGGUUUGGAAGUUUGCUUGGUUAACAAUGCAGGUACGAAACUGGAAGGAGAGGCAAAAGCUUAUGAAGUACUGUUAGAUAGAACUCCUCCAAUAAAAGAUCUAAGUGUGGAGGAGUUAAUAAAAGAAGAACCAACUCUUCAACCCAAGGAGGCACCAAAAGUAGAACUCAAAACUCUCCCAUCAAAUCUAAGGUAUGAAUUCUUGGGCCCUAACUCCACUUAUCCUGUUAUUGUAAAUGCAAGUCUCGAUGAAGUAGAAACUGAAAAAUUGCUUUAUGUCCUCAAGAAAUAUCCUAAAGCCAUAGGUUACACCAUUGAUGACAUUAAAGGAAUAAAUCCUUCAUUAUGCAUGCAUAGGAUACUUCUUGAAGACGACUAUAAACCUUCCAUUGAGCACCAAAGGAGACUAAACCCCAAUAUGAAAGAAGUUGUGAAAAAGGAAGUCUUAAAACUCCUAGAUGCAGGUGUGAUCUAUCCAAUUUCUGACUCCAAAUGGGUUAGUCCUGUGCAAGUUGUACCAAAGAAGGGUGGUCUCACAGUCAUUAAAAAUGAUAAAAAUGAAUCCAUUGCCACUAGAACCGUCACCGGUUGGAGAAUGUGUAUUGAUUAUAGGAAGCUUAACAAGGCAACCCGUAAAGAUCACUUCCCCCUCCCGUUUAUAGACCAAAUGUUAGAAAGGUUAGCUAAGCAUUCUCAUUUUUGUUACCUAGAUGGCUAUUCUGGAUUUUUCCAAAUACCCAUUCACCCUAAUGACCAAGAAAAGACAACUUUUACAUGUCCCUUCGGGACCUUUGCCUAUAGAAGAAUGCCUUUUGGUCUCUGUAAUGCCCCUGCUACUUUUCAAAGAUGCAUGAUGUCUAUCUUUUCUGACUUCGUUGAAAAAAUAAUGGAAGUCUUUAUGGAUGAUUUUUCUGUGCAUGGUUCUAAUUUUGAUGAUUGUUUGACUAACCUUGAAAAAGUUUUGGAAAGAUGUGAACAGGUGAACCUCGUCUUAAAUUGGGAGAAAUGUCACUUCAUGGUAAGAGAAGGAAUUGUCUUAGGACACUUGGUUUCCGACAGAGGUAUAGAGGUGGACAGAGCAAAAGUCGAAAUUAUUGAAAAAAUGCUGCCUCCCACCUCCGUCAAAGAAAUUAGAAGUUUCCUAGGACAUGCAGGGUUCUACCGUCGUUUCAUCAAAGAUUUUUCAUCAAUCACUAAGCCGCUAACCAACCUGCUCCUCAAGGAUGCAGACUUUACCUUUGAUGAUUCUUGUUUGCAGGCAUUUUGCAGGUUGAAGGAAGCACUAAUCACCGCCCCAAUCAUACAACCACCAGAUUGGAACUUGCCUUUUGAAAUAAUGUGUGAUGCAAGCGACUAUGCGGUUGGGGUGGUAUUAGGUCAAAGAAAGGACAAAAAGAUGCAUGCCAUAUACUACGCCAGUAAGACCCUAGAUGGGGCGCAGGUAAACUAUGCCACAACAGAAAAAGAAUUGCUAGCAGUUGUCUACGCCAUUGACAAAUUUCGGCAAUACUUGGUAGGAUCAAAAAUCAUUGUUUAUACAGAUCACUCGGCCAUAAAAUACUUGCUAAACAAAAAAGAUGCAAAACCGAGAUUGAUCCGAUGGAUUUUGCUCCUCCAAGAAUUCGACCUUGAAAUAAAAGAUAAAAAGGGCGUAGAAAAUGUUGUCGCUGACCACUUGUCCCGACUUCGGGAGGCCAAUAAGGAUGAGUUACCCCUGGACGACUCAUUCCCAGAUGACCAACUAUUCUUAUUGGCACAAACUGACGCACCUUGGUAUGCAGAUUUUGUUAACUUUCUUGCAGCAGGAGUACUACCACCCGAGUUAAACUACCAACAAAAGAAGAAAUUCUUCAAUGACCUCAAGCACUAUUAUUGGGACGAGCCCUACCUCUUCCGAAGAGGCUCAGAUGGGAUUUUCAGGCGCUGCAUUCCUGAAAGCGAGGUAAGUAGUAUUCUAACUCAUUGUCACUCCUCUUCUUAUGGUGGCCACGCCAGUACACAAAAGACUUCUUUCAAAAUUCUUCACUCUGGUUUCUGGUGGCCAUCACUUUUUAAAGAUGUGCACCUCUUUAUCUCUAAAUGUGACAAAUGUCAACGCACCGGUAGCAUCACUAAGAGAAAUGAAAUGCCUUUGAAUAACAUCCUUGAAGUAGAAAUUUUUGAUGUUUGGGGUGUUGACUUUAUGGGACCUUUCCCCUCCUCUUUUGGAAAUCAGUACAUACUAGUAGCCGUUGACUAUGUGUCCAAAUGGGUUGAGGCCAUUGCAUCCCCCACUAAUGACGCACAGGUAGUUAUAAAAAUGUUUAAGAAGGUCAUCUUCCCUAGAUUCGGAGUACCACGAGUUGUGAUAAGCGAUGGCGGUUCUCACUUCAUUUCAAAACAUUUUGAAAAACUUUUGCAAAAACUUGGAGUGAGGCACAAAGUCGCGACACCCUAUCACCCCCAAACUAGUGGACAAGUAGAGGUCUCAAACAGACAAAUCAAAGCUAUCCUUGAAAAAACUGUCUCCACCUCUAGAACAGAUUGGUCAAAUNNNNNNNNNNNNNNNNNNNNNNNNNNNNNNNNNNNNNNNNNNNNNNNNNNNNNNNNNNNNNNNNNNNNNNNNNNNNNNNNNNNNNNNNNNNNNNNNNNNNAGGAACCAAAAUCUAAUAGUAAUCAAGUCAGCGAAAUAGGCUUGGUUGCUAGAGGAACAUAAGAGAAACUGUCUUGAGAAAUUAGGUCUAACAUAAGGUUAUAAGUUUAAUAGUUUAGUUUGUGAAGGACUUGUCAUUAGGAUGAACCAAUGAUUCCAAGGCUUUUUAUCUUUUCUUUUAUUUUCUUAUAAUUAAAAAUCCAAACUUUUAACCUUUGAAACUUUCAUCUAAUCAUUGUUAAAAGUUAAUUGAAUUCAUAACUCUCUGUCGGAACGAUACUCAUAUUUUACUACUUCGGUAAGACCGUGCACUUGCGGUUUUAUCCCAUCAGCUAUUAAGCCCAAAAUUAAUCAAAACUAAAGAGGAAAGAUAACAGAGAAGACACCAAGAUUUACAGUGGUUCACUCUUUCGUCCUCGCUUCGAGCUACAUCCACUCUUCUUGAUGGAAAACAUCUCCACCAAGGACUUCAACUAGAAUAUUGAAUGUUUGAUUACAAUGUGAUUACAAGAAUUCCUUGAAACUACCAUAGUUCGUCAGUUCCUAUGCAAUUACUCCCCCAAUCUUCAAAUAACCUUUGAAAUUUGUGCUUCAUGAUGUCUACGAAUAUGCAAUCACCUGUGCAACCCUUGAAGUUAUUCACUCGAAUCCUUUGACGCUCCGUCGGGAAAUUAGAUCCCCUUGAACACAAGAACUUUAGUAAGAACCCCUAAGACCUUUGGAGGUGGAAUAAGAUUAUUCAUUUCACUUUAGAACCUUGAUUUAUUCAAUCAAUUUCCUUGAAUAAACCAACUUACAAUCGAUAUAGCACUUCAACGAUCUAUGACUCAAAGAACAAAAUGAUUCUAAGAGAAAAUGUGUAACACCCUAAACUCUAAAAGCGAUAAAAUUACGCAAAUGAUACAAUCAUAUCAAGAAUUUAGAUGUUUCUUCUUAAAUAAAUCAUGAGGCAUGCACACCAAAUUUUUGCAAAACAUCGUAGCGGAAUAAUCAUCUCAACAAUUCAUCAAUAGUAAAAAUAAAUCUCCAAAUAACCAUGUCGACAUACUACAAGUAUCAUCAUCAAUAUAUAGUCUCAAAUCCUCAAUAGUCAUAAAGCAGUAAACAUAAAAAAACCGACCCCUAAUUAGAGCCCUAAUGACUAAGACACCUAAAACAGUAAAAGAGGUAGCAUCCAAGCUAUCCUCAAGCAACUCAUCAAGCAAAGCAACUAGUCCUGCACGCCGUCUACCCAUUUAUAAGAAUAAGGUAGGCGGUCAACCAAACUACCAUUGGGGUUAGUUCACAAUUCAAAUUAAACAUAAUUAAAAGAAAGUAAACGACAUAAUUUAAUCUUCAAAUGAUUAAGCAACUAAAUAAUAAAUAUUCAUCAAGCAUAAAAAUAUACUAAUACGCAAGUACAUCUCCACAUAUUUACAUAUUAACCAAUUUUUACCAAGUAUACAAUUCACCAAGUGCAAACAUUCACCAAGCACACAAGCAAGUACGACACCUGUCAAGUUAUGGAAUGCGCCUAGACAGGACUCUAUAUGCAUGUGGUACCAAACACCGUCAAGGUCGUCACCUCAAGAUACAAGUAUAUCAUAAUCACCGUGGUUGAAUAUAAAGUAUUCUAAUCACUGUCGCUGGAUACAUAGUAUCUGAAUCACCGUCCUUGGAAAUAAAUAUCCUACUUAUGAAUACUUGAACAUAUGACUCAAUAAUGCAUACGUGCAAACAACACCUCACCAACAUAAACACCGAUAAUUUUUAUACAUGCAAGCACCAUCAAAUCGCCAUCAUUUUUGCAUGUAAGAAUUCACCAUCAAUAAAUAAUCACCAUCAUUAAAAUCAUUAUCAUAUACAUCAUCCAUAACAAUUACCUCAAACAAAUCGAAAAGUUUCAAGAAUCACAUUUCUCCUAAAGACAAACACCUAACCACAACAUGAUAUUCAUCACUUUAAACACCCGAACAACAUUGAUUCAUUCUUAUUAUAUCACCUUAUCAUGCACAUCAAACCAAUUGUAAGUUAUCCGGUCAAGAAAUCACAUUUUAACAAAAUUCGUCUAUUUCCAGAACUUUCUACAUUUUCUAAGAAAUUUAACAAAACAAGGUCAAUGCAUGUGAUCAAACACCUCAACCAAGCAUAUACACUACUCACAUAUGAUCCCAGUAGUAUAUGCAUAUAGGCAUCAUAAGCCAAUUCCGAUUAGUUCCAAAGGUUUAGAAAGCUUAAAUACAGUUAAGUACAUAAAGAAAAUCAGUUUGGACGUUCCGGGUCGAUCCCCGAAUGCCCAGAACACCCAAAACAUGGGUGUCUGUUCCUAUGCAACUCACCACAGCGAGCACCAGCUCGCCUAGCGAGUUCACCAUAAUAGGUCACCCUAUUCUUGGGUUUUCCUCUCGGGAAACCCUCCAAUUUUCAAACCAAAACCCCAUUUUCGAUCCCCUUUGACCCAAAUUCGUCCCCAAAUCUUAUACAUUAGUUUAUAAACAUCAAAAGACAUUCAAAACAACAACAAACUUGGAAUCAUAACACCAAUUUACCUCAAAUUCAUCACCUAGUUCAUUUUUCACCAAAACCCACAAUUUUCUCAAUUUUCAUUCAAACUUCAUAAACAACCACACCAAUUCAAACCCCAUUAACAUACACACAUAAAUAAAAAUUUAUGAAGUGAAUUCAAACAUAUUUCAACAACAAUCACUCACCAAUUCAUAAUUUACAUUCAAUUAAUCAAAAAUCAUCAAAACCACUUAUCAAGAACAACAACUUUGAAGUUUAAGCUCUUAAAUCAACAAUUUCGUGAAGAUUAUCAUACCCACAAAUUCACUUGAAUUAGGGGCACGAAUUUUAUCAUUCAAAACUAACAAAAGUCACAAUUAACACAAAAGCACUUAAAAUCAUAAUUGAAAAUAAGAGAUUAUGACUUAAUUGAUAAAAAGAAACCAUCCCCCUUACCUCUAGUCUUAAAGAAUCCUAACUUUGGCUUCACUCACUACUAGAAAAAGCAAAAUUAGCGAGGAAAAUUAGUGACGGAAAAAAUGAAAUUCCUCACAAAUUCCAUGGUCGCAAAAUUUAGUAACGGAAUUAGAGAGGGAUUUCACGUUUUCCCUCACAAAAUUUCCCUCACUAAUUUUUGUUUUUAUAGUAGUGACUUUAGCUCCUAACUCUUCAAACCCCAAGUUCUCUUUCUCCUCCUCUUCUAUCCUCUUGAUUCACUUUCUCUCUACCUCUUAUGUUUUUGUGAAAUGAAUAAUGAAAGGUUAACCUAAUUCUCACAAAGUUAUGCUUAUAUACCACCUUUUUAUUGGGCUAAGUUUCUAAUUGUCUUAAUGGGAUCAAUAUUCUUACCAACUAAUUCACCAAAGUUACUACUCACUUUAACCGUUAAAAUACCGAAUAAUUACCCCAACUCGCUAGUAACUUAGUAAAAGUAAUUAUUCUCACUAAAAACACCAAAAUAACCUUCUAAUUAAAAUGACUAAUUUACCCUUGCUCACCAAAUGACCAAAAUACCUCCGAGUCUGAAAAUGACUAAAAUACCCUUCUUAAGCCAAAAUCGACCAAUACCAAAUAAUAUACACACAUAGACAAAUAAUCACACACAAAAACAUAUAAACACACAUAAUAAGUAAUUAAAAUAAUUAUAGCGAAAAACGGGUUGUUACAAAGUUUUUAAUCUUGAAGAAUGUAUGAACAAUGAGGUUUGGAGACUGUAUAGAGAAUAGAUGGAACUGAUUCAAUAUUUUUGGAGUUAUGAGGAAGUGAAAAUUUUCGGCCAAAAACAACAUAGUGAAUAGAUUCAAUAAAUGUGUGAAUCGAUUCAAACAGCUAAAAGACAAGCCUGGUGAACUAUGAACAUGCUUUGGAGAUUGAUACACAUCACAUUAAUUUUGAAUCGAUUCAUAACACCCAGGCUGUGAAGCCCAUAUACGAGAUACGAUACAGAUACGAUACUGCACCGAUAUGCCGAUACGGAAAAAUUUCAAAAAUCAAGAUACGAUACGGCUGGGAUACGUUAAUAAAAAAAAUUAUAUAAUUAAUUGUAUUAUAUAAUUAUAGUCAUUUUUUUUAAUAUGCAAGUAUAUUAACAAACACAAGAAACCAUGCUCGUAGCACAUUAAUAUAAAUAUAAUAUUGACGAUUAAGAGAAAGGGAAAGAUGUAAUUGAUUGUGUGGUGUGGUGUGGGUCGUACUGGCACCAAAGAAAGAUAAAGGAAAUGUAUAUAUAUAUAUAUAUAUAUAUAUAUAUAUAUAUAUAUAUAUAUUAUAGUAAUAUAAUAUUUUUAUUCUUAUUUUUUACACAAAAAAAAAAUAGAAAUCAAAAUAAUAUAAAAAACACACGUAUCUGUGCGUAUCGGGAUGUAUCGGAUAAUUAUUUUUUAAAAAAAUAAAAUUUAAUAUUUGGAUACUCUCCGGAUACGUAUCGGGAAGUAUCGGGCAGGUAUCGGUGCAGGAUACGCAGGGGAUACGGUACGUCAUCCAUUUUGAAGUAUCGGGGCUUCAGAGCACCCAGGAUGAUGAUUGAAACAAUUCAAACUAUUUUGAAUCGAUUCAACACAAGUCAUAAAGAUUUCAUGAUACGAUUAAGUCUAUUUUGAAUCGAUUAAGGAGUGAUACAAUUCAAAAUAUCAUGAAACGAAUCACCUCAAGUCCGAGACUUUAGGUGAUACGAUUCAAGCAAAAUUGAGUCGAUACAAAUGCACAGAAAACCAGUUUUGACAACAGAAAUGAAGUUACUUGCGACACAAGCUAUGAAGGACACAAAAGAAUCACACAAGCUAUGAAGGACACAAAAGAAUCACAAAGUAUGAUGAGGCACAAUUUUUCUAGGUGCUUUAACAUAGAGUAUGUUGUACUACCAAAAUAAAAACGACAUCUAAGAAUUCCUAUCAACAUCAAAACAUCAUUAAACCAUAAGUUAAGACAAAGAAAGCUUCAAAAGGAAAGAGUUCCAUCUAGCAUAUACAUGAUGAUGUUUGAUAGUAAUUGACAUUGUGAAUGAUGUGCACGAGUGUGAAUACUAAUGAUGAUGAUUUUAUGUUGUUGUUAUUUCAUGUUGCUUUAUCUAUUCUGAUAAAAUGUUUGUAUUCUCACUCCUUUGUUGUUGUGUGUUUUGUGGUUCACUACUCGUGGGGUACAGAUAUUCAGAACGAGGAGCUCUAGUUGUGAGACAUUUAGCUGGUGGUGAUGGGGAAUUAUCUUCCGCCAUUAUUUUAUUAGAAAUUACCUAUGUAGUGGAUUACGUGCUCUGACAUGUAACAUUAGGGUUGAGGUUUUAACAUUGAUUUUAUUUUCCAUGCAGUUUAAAUCUUUCUUUUGAUAUUUUGUCUUAUUAUUUAUUGAAAAGUUGAGUAUGUGUAACAACACGUGAUCGGGGUCGUAGGGUGUUACGGUGAACCUCUAUUUUACUACAUGCACACGCCUUGUUUCUCUCAUUCCCCUUCCUCUCCUCGCUAUUUGCUCUGUUUCUCUUUUACUCUAUACAUCGAUAAACAUUAAUAUAUAUUAUAAAGGAUACUAUAAUAAAAUUUACACUAUUUCAUUUGUACCAUGUGUUAUUCAUUAAACACAAUACUUUACCAAAAAGUUGUUCAACAACUUAAAUAUUUGUUUUGUAUAGUUAUGACAAGUAAUCUAAAUUUUGUAUUUGAAAUUGUAUUUUUUUUAUGCAAUUACUUCAAAACAACCAAAUUAUUUAAUUGACUAAAAUUGUAAAUGAAAUAGUAAAAUUUGAUGAAUAAAAGGUUACACUAAAACUUAGUGUGUGUGUAGAAACACCAAGUUACACAAAUGAUUAGUAACACAUAUUUUCUGAAUUAUUCAAAAGAGAAUUUACGUAUAAUAAAAAAGAAUACUAAUUGAGACUUUGAGUUGGUAGAAAAAAAUUCAAACAAUAAAGAAGAAAGAAGAAUAUGAACUAAAAAAGAAUAAGAAAUCAUAAACAAAAUGCAUAUCACUUAUAUAUAUAUAUAGGGAUUUGCUAGAACACACCCACUAAUUUUUAUGUGGGAGUGUUUUAGCAAGUUAUAACUAAAAAGUUAAUAAAUACACCUUAAGGUGUAUGUUGCUAUAACACACCUUCUAGAAAAAGCAAGUGGGUGUGUUCUAGCAAAUCCUAUAGUCAUUUGCUAGAAUACACCCACUUAUUUUUUAGAAGGAGUAUCUUAGCAAGUGAAUAACUAAAAAGUGGUUAAAUACACCUUAAGGUGUAGCUUUGCUAAAACACUCCCACAUAAAAACUAGUGGGUGUGUUCUAGCAAACCCCAUAUAUAUAUAUAUAUAUAUAUAUAUAUAUAUAAACGUCUAACAAAAUUCUCUCUCUUCUCUCCUUCUCAAACCUUAGACGUCACCCUUUUUCUUCUUUUUCUUCUUCUUCUUUUUAGAUGGGUGAUUUAUGGUCAAUUUUGACCCAAAAAUCACCCAUCCGAAUUGUUUUUCUUUUUAUUCAAAUUGAAUAAGUGAUUUCACAUAUUUUCUGUUUUCUUUCGUUUGUUUUUGGGAUUUCAUCGUCUCUAAACGACUCUGUUUGUUUUGAUUUCUCGUCUUUGUGCGGUGUGUUUUGAUUUCCCGUCUUAGUGCGGUGUUUAUUUGAUUCAGGUUGAAAGAUUAGCUUUGAGUGAUGGGUCAAUAACGAGUCAUUAAUUAGUGUCUUUUGUUUAAUAUUUAAGUUUAUUUUAAUUAGAUUUAAUAUGUUUUUAUUUACUUCUAGAACUAUUUUACUUCAAUUGCAAGUUAUUUUAUUUUAGGAACAAAUAUUUGAAAGAUGGAGUCUUGGAGCAAAAGAAACGAGAAUUGGAGCUUAUUCAUGCCAAAAAUAUAAAGAUCUCAUGCAAAAAUAUAUUGUGCAAGGAUUCAUGCAAAAAAUAUGAAGAUCUCAUACAAAAAUAUCUGGUGCAAAGAAAUUGAAGAUCUUGUGCAAAAAUAUAACAAGUGGUGCGCUCCUUUUACCCUUUUGCUGCUUCUACUUCAAAGACAAGCUACCUAUUAAGUUUACUUAUGACCUAAAUGCCAAUGGUUUCUUGUGGAACAUUCUAGUGAUGUAUUGCUUAGGUUUUAAGUCAUUCUAAAGUCUAAACUAUAAAUAGAGUAGCUAGCUAUCACAACAAUUCAUCUUUUGUUCUUGGAAAUAAUAAGUGACAAUUGUUUUCUUUAAUAAAAGAUCAACCUUUAUUUUAUGUUCUUCUUCUUCUCAUCUAUGUCUAUAAUGAACGUGAGUAAGUAGACUCUUCUUGUCUUGAGAUUGCGGGAUAAGUUUAAUGACAUAAUCCUAAUCAAACCAAGCCUUAACCCUAAUUUUAUGUAACCCUAAUUUCUAAUCUAAAUUCACCGUUUUCAUAAUGAAUUAACAAAUACCAAACUCAUGAAGCGAAAGUGGAGGGUUAGUAAUUGUUAAUUCAUCAUCUCAAAUAUCAAUUCAUGAAGCGAAAGUGGAGUUUUGAUAUUGGAACAAGUGAAUUUAGACAAGGAUUGUGAAACAUGAAAAUAGUCUAGCAAACCUUGAGACAAUAAAGUUUCGAGCUUCAAGGAUUUCAAUAGCAAUCAACCAUGAAAAUAGGUGUGGUUGCUAGAGAAACACACUCACUUGAGACCGAAAGAAGAUGUGAUAGGCUAAAGAGAAACUUGUCUUUAAAAAUUAGGUCUAACAUAAGGUUUUAGGUUGAAGGGUUUGGAUUGUGAAGGUUUUGUCAUAAAGAUGAACCAAUAAUUUCAAGACACUUUUAUUUUAUUAUUGUUAUUUUCUUUUAAUUAAAAAUCCAAACUUCUUAAUCUCAAACUCUCAUCUAAUCAUUAUUUAAAGUUAAUUGAAUUCAUAACUCCCUGUCGGAACGAUACUCUUUUUACUACUUCGGUAAAACCGUGCACUUGCGGUUUUACUCAUCAUUGAGCAAGUGCAGAUCCGAUCAAUGACAAUGACUUUGACGUCGUCAUAUUUGUAGGCAUAUGUACUUUGUCGUUUUAUGCUAUUAACAUGGAUGAUGUGAGUUUGUUCAUAGAUUCAUCAUUUUUGUUUUUAACGAAUUUUGAUUUAAAUGAAUGAACAUCGUUUAUUUUUUUAAAAUAAAAAAAAAAAUAAACGUCUAACUAAAAUUUUGUAGUAUCCUCGUAUAAUCAAUACAAUUUAAUUUUCUUCUUCCGAAAAUAUUUUAUUAAAUUUCUUAUGGAGAUAGGUGAUUUUUAUGCGAGAAUGAUACGCAUAUAUAGUUGACCUGAUCAUCGUAUCAGACCGCUUAUGAGCCGGACUCGGAUAGGACUUCAUUAACUUCAUAAAUUAACUGCACAUUUUCAAGCAUUGUGAAUUAAAUGUUCGCAAAUUCACAAAAAAAUGCAACAAAGGAUUCACAGUUUCAGACCGUUUCUCCUUUUCGUAACAUAUUUUAGUCUUUAUCACACCAUAGUGUUCCAACUAAACUUUUCUGAUAAAUAGCAAACAAAUAUAAAUAUGAUGAGUUAUGUGAUGAAAAGAAGAAAAUAGAUUACAAAAAUCUGUAAAAUAGAUUUAUAUUACUACUUCAGAACAAGCAAUUAUGAGAAAAAUUAUGCAUGAACUUUUAGUCUAAAAUCUUAGUGAUGGAGUACAAGUCCGAACCUUAAAAAAUCUUAAACUAAAUAAUCUCCAACAAUUAAGAUAUGCUCAUUCCACAGGGUCUAUCUUAGGUGGAGGAACCUACAAAAAAAAGCAAAACAAUAAUGUAAAUAAUUUCACAUCAAACAAGAGUUAUAAACUAAUUAUUAUGUCUAUUGAGAUUUGAAUAGUUAGAGAUGCUUACUAAUAGUUCAAAAAUUGAGACAUACAUGCUACCAGAAGUUGAAUUCUGCACACAACGUAUUCAAACCAUUAUAUAAUUAAGAUUUUGGUGACUAAUAUAUAAAGAAGUAGAAGUUAGAAUCAUGAGUAUACAUACUAGGGUUUGAGCAGUAUUUCUGAAUGAUGAAUCUGAAGAAUCUUGAGAGCUUUUGUGGUAGCCACUUGAAGAGAUAUCUUCUGGGGUGAAAAUAGUGCAUGGACAUGAAAGAGAUUUCAUUGGUGAACCCAUUGGUGAAGAGUCAUCAUUUAGGGUUUCAACACCAAAACACAUCAAGAGAGACUUGAGUAUUCCUUCAAGCCAAGAGAAAGCCAUUGUCUUUGGUCCUCUCUGCCACACGCCAGCUAGCUUUUAUAAAUCAGAUUCUCAAAAUUUAAUGUUAAAGAUUUUGAUUUAGAUUUUUUUUUUUUUAAGGAAGAUUUUGAUUUAGAUGAAUUGCUUUUUUUAAUUGGAAUGUUAUUAUUAAUAGUAAUUAAGAUCGAAAAAUAUAUUUAAGAUCAUGAUAUACCAUAUAUAAUACUGAUAAGAACGUAAUUAUGAACUUACUAUAUGUCAAUAGGUACUUAUAUAAAGAAAUAACUCUGAAUGAUAAUAAAACACAGCCUGUAAGAAAAUAUCAGCCAACUAUAUUCUAAUAAAUUUAUGAUUUACCAGCAGAAAGAAAGACACGUGGUCACUUUUUGUAUUAAUGCUAUCAAACCAACUGAGCUAAGCCCACGUGGAUAUUCUUUUUGUCUAUUGCGCUUAAUUGUAUUUUUUUUUAGUAUAUACCAUCAUUUUUUGAUAAAUCAAGAGUACAAUGACAUAAAAAAGUUGUAGAAGACAUUCUAACUUUUUUUGGUGGUGGUCACGGACUUUGUAUAUAUUAUGCAAUAUCUCUAUUAACUAGGGAUGAUAAUGGAUAUCCAAUGGAUAGGGUACUAUAAUACCCAUCCCCAUACCCUCAUUUGUAAAAAAUGCCCGUAUCCGAGCCCGUACCCUCGUGGGCAACAACUUUACUGCCCUUCCCCGUACCCUAUGGGCACUUAAGUGGCCAUACCCGCACCCAUUACCCGCACUUUCUCUAUGAAAAGACAAUAAAAAACAUCACAAUUGAAAUAAAACUAUGAUCCAAAAUUAUUUAAAUCAACUAAUAAAAUAGUACGAAUCGUAGUAUUUAGCCAAAUAAAAAAACAUCCAAAAUAUCCUUCAAAAAUUAAAAUAAAAACAUUCAAAUAAUCAUAGUAUUUAGGUUUAAACUUAAAUAGCUUAGAUUUUAGGUUUAGGUUUAGACUUAAAUAGCUAAAUAAAUUAAAUAAUUGUACACCAAAAAUAUAUAAAGUAUUUAUUAUAUUAUAUAAAUAUGUACAUCGGGUUGCGGGGCUGGGUAGUAUAGUACCCUUACCCGUGUCCAUACCCAUUAAAAUUUGCGGGUAAUUACCCUACCCGUGCCCAUACCCAUGAAAGCGGGGUUUUACCCUACCCAUUGUGGGUAUUUUUUGCGGGUGCCCAUCGGAUCUGGGUCCAAUUGCCAUCCCUACUAUUAACUGAGCUAAGCUCAUGAGGACACUCUUUUUGUCUAUUGCGCUUAAUUGUAUAUUUUUUAAUAUACAUGCAAUAAUUUUUUGAUAAAUCAAGAGUACAAUGACAAAUAAAAGUUGUAGAAGACAUUCUAACUUUUUUUUGUGGUGGUCGAGGUUUGAAUCACGGACCUUGCAUAUAUUAUGUAUUAUCUCUAUUAACAGAGUUAAGCUUGCGAGGACACUAUUUUUGUCUACUGCGCUUAAUUGUAUAUUUUUUAAUAUAUAUACCAUAUUUUUUUUAUAAAUCAAGAGUACAAUAACAAAAAAGAGGAAUACAAGACAUUCUAACUUAGCUGAAAUGUCUUGCAGAUUCCAUUCCUUGUCAGGUGUUCAUAUAUAUGGUUAAAAAAUGGAAAAAAGCAGAAAUACAAAAAAGAAAAAAACUAGGGGGACAUAAACUUAACCCAGUAAAUCCACACAAAGUGUACGUCAACCCAAUCAGGUGAUACGAAAAAAUAAAAACAACACUGGUGGAUGUCUAAAAUGUGGUGUAUGAACCCACUAUUAACACGAAACGAAUCCAAUAAUCAAUCACUCCUUGCAACAACAACAUGCAUAAUGUCUCUUUCGAGAGUCAGUCCAACAUCAAAUAGGACUGAUGAAGAUUUUGAAACCUCCAAAAAGUUAUAUAGUACCUAACUUCGUGAAAGUCGACCGCCAACACAGAUACCAAACCCCACUCCUACAACUCACUGUGCUGCGACCUAAGGUUCGCGACCAUUAAAAUCAAAAUAAACUCAAAUAAUAUGAUAUCAGAUAUUGUUCUUAUCGUAGAGGGUUGUGUGUGUGUGUGUGUGUGUGUAUAUAUAUAUGAUAAUGGAGUUGUAUAUAUUGUAAUGUGGUUUAAGUGGUUUUUUUUUUUUAAUUUAAGAUUUACAUAAUAAAGAGAAUGGAUAAAUUUUAUAAAAAAAAAAUGAAUGGAUAAAUUGUAAAUAGAAUAGAUUAAAUGAAGGAUCUCUGAAAAAAUAAAAAUAGAUUUUUUCUUUUCUUUUAUAAGCAAGGAGAAAGGAUUGGCAUCAAGAGGCAUAAUAAAAAUAGAUUAAAUUAAGGAUAUAAUUUGAAGAAAAAAAUAUUACACUAAAAAUUAAGUAUUCUCUUUAUAUCUUGAUUAAGUUACACAAUUCAUCCUUUAACUUUCGUACUGUAUCAUUUAAUCAUUUAUGUUGUAAUCAAGUAACACUUUCAUACUUUAUCAUUUUUUUUUUCUGAUUUAAUCCUUUAUUAUAUAAAAUAUCAAUACUGAAUAAUUUUUGAUGGGAUUUUUUAUGGGUCUGCUUGGUGGAGGGAGAUUGUGAAAAUUCGUGAGAGAUUUGGGAUUGAGGGUGGGCAGUUGGUUUGACAAGAGCAUUUAGAUGAAAAUGGGUAAUGGUAUUAAAACCUUUUUUUGGUCAGACUUUUGGGUGGGGGCGGCCCAUCUUCAGAAGAGGUUUAAGAGGUUGUUUGAUUUAUCAGUUCACUAGGAUGAGACGGUGGCGGAAAUGUUUUCCUUAGGUUGGGGGGAAGUAGAGGAAGCUUGGGGGUGGCGACGUCGGUUGUUGGCUUGAGAAGAGGCGCCCUAAUGUGGCUGAUGGUUAUACGGUCCGUGGUGUGUAUCAAUGCUUAUGAGGCAGGAAAUGCAUAACCACGAUGAAGUUGUUGACGCAGUUUGGCAUACAAAUGUUCCUUUUGAAGGUUUCAAUUUGUGCGUGGCGUCUUCUCCGCAACAGGUGGCCUACAAAGGAUAAUUUCUUGUGUUACAACAUUAUUCCGUUUGAUUCUCAAUUGUGCGUGUCCGGAUGUGGUAAAAAUGAAACAACAAACCACCUUUUAAUUUAUUGUGCUACUUUUGGCAUGCUAUGGCAACAUAUCAAAACUUGGAUUAGUUUCAAUUCAGUGGAUCCCCAACAUAUAUUGGAUCAUUUUCUUCAGUUUGCUUACUCAUCGGGAGGCUUCAAACCCCAUCGAUCGUUUUUGCAACUUAUUUUGCUUUGUAGUGUUUAUUUGCUUUGGAAUGAAAAGAAUAACAUACAAUUUUCUAAUAGAGCUAAAUCUAUUAUCCAGCUUCUGGAAAGAGUCAAAAUUGUUUCUUUGAAUUAGCUGAAAGCUAAAAAUGUUUGUUUUCCUUUUAGUUACCAUUUGUAGUGGCAACAACCUCUUGUCUGUUUAGGCACUGGUUGACUGUCUUUUUGUAAUUGAUCUGAAUACUAUGUUGUUACUUGUUCGGAUCUUCUUUGCACUACUCCUUGUGCUAGAGAUCAUCAUCAGCAACAACAAUAGAAGUAGUAAAUUUCAUAAUUAUAUUUAGUAAAAAAAAAUCAUUAUUUUACUAAAAAAGAUAAGAAUACUCCUUAUUAGGAGGUUAGACAAAUCCAUAAAAAAAUAUUUAAAAUUUUAACUUUUAUGCGAACUAGCCACUUUUAUUUUUAACAAUCAUUUAUGGCAGUGGCGAAAAAGUUUAUUUUUUUAAACGAUGACAAAAAAGGUUGGAUAUCCAUUUAAAACAAUAUUUUAAUGUCCAAGGUAAAAUAACUUUACUACCAAAUAGGUGUGAUAUUUUAUUCUAGUAAUUAAGGAUAGAAAAUCAAUCAAAUAUUUUUUGCAGUGUUGUGGUAAAAUUAUCAUUUCAAGGUCUUUGACUAUAUAUUUCAAAGUAGUCUCGAUUUCAGUCCUCACUCCAUUCACCCCCAUAUAUAUAUCUAAGAGAGUGACAUUGCUAGGUUCUUUCAACGUUCAUUAUAGUAGGUUUUUGAUUAACUCAAACCUUUGUAAGGAGCUUAGGAGACGAGGUAUGCUUAAAUCAACCCAUUUCCUAUGUGAUUUUACUUGUUAAAGUUCGAUUUUUUAAUGAAUUAUUUGAAAACAUUCAAUAUAUGCUCCCUUCUGAUAAAUUUUUCUCUCUAAUAAGUUGAAUAUUUGGAAAAUGGAUUAUCCUUUUACAAUCACACUAUUAUGGAUCUAGAUCCUUCAAUUAAGAUUUGAUGGUGUAUAAUUUUCGCUUCAUAUUUUAGAUCCAUUUUUUAAAAUAAAAUCCAAGAUUUUGGUUAAGAUUUGGCAUAUAUGGUUGAAUAUGUCUGCAUGAAAUCAUGAUUAUCUUGCAUCUGGGUGAUUAUUCGUAAGGUUGAACAAAUAAAAAUAUUUAUGGUUUCACAGGUUUCAUCAAAAAUUGAUUGUUUGCAGUUACACCGUUACACUAUGGAUCUAGAUUGUUUGAUUGAGAUCUGACAAUGUAUAAUUUUUGUAUGUUUUAUAGAUCCAUUUUUAAAACGAAAUACAAGAUUUUCUGGAUCCUAUUAUGGAUCUAGAUCGUUCGAUCUGGAGUAUAAUUUCCGCUUCGUUUUUUAGAUCCAUUUUUAAAAAAUGAAAAAGGUUUUUGGUUAAGAUUUAGCAUAUAUGAUUGUAUAUGUGUGCAUGAAAUCGUGGUUACCUUGCAUAUGAGUUGUCUUUGUCUGAUUUUGCAUCAGGUUGAGCAAAUAAAAAUAUUUAGUGUUUCUUGGGUUUCAUAAAAAAUUUAUUGUCUACGAUUACACCAAUACAUUGUUGUAGAUAUAUAUGGUCCGUUUUGGUAAGAUCCUAUCGUGUGUGAAUUUGUGGUUUUGGAUAAUUUGAUUAAUUUCAGAUGGUGAUAUUCUCAAUUCAUAUUUUGAAUACUUUUUAAAAAUAAAAUAGAACUAGAUACUUGCUUAAGAUUGAACUAUUGGUCCAAGCUAUAAUUAGUUGACAAAACGAAGCUUUAUCAAUUUCAUGCCAACUUGUUCUUGAUGUUUCUGUCUAGUAGAGGCAACAAGCAAGCAACAAACAAAAUUUGUGUUAAUUGCAUGAAAAUGUAUUAUUUUGAAGUGCAAGCUUGGUUUUGCAAAUAAAUGACGAUAUUGAGGAAAGUGCUAAUUAAUUCAUUCUUGUUAAUUAAUACAAAAUUACAACUAACGUUAUAAAAAAUGUAUCUUUUGCUGGAUUUUUUAAACUGUAGAUACUAUUGACUUCUUGAAUGAACAUUGGUUUAGCUGUUAAUAUUUAGAUUUGCUUAUUGAUAUUGUUCUUAUUAUUUAGGUUUGAAAACCUGAGUUCUUAAUAUAUAGCUCAAGUGGCACUAUAUCAUCUUUGGAUUGCAUGUGUUUUGCUUACACUCCAAUUUUAAACACAUAUUUGUUGUCUUUUUUUUUUCUGUCAUGAUCAUAGGGGAGAAAAAUUGACUCAAUAAUGUAAAAUAUUUAUUAAUGUCUGAAUUAAUAUUUCAUGCAGGAAACGUUAACAAUGAAGACUAGCAACUCAGCUAGUAGAAUCUCUAUUCAAGAUAUGUUGUUAGAUAUCUUGAUUAGAAUUUUCUUGAAACUGAAUGUUGUUGAACUUUUAGUUUCCUCCAUGGUUUUCAAAUCAUGGAAUGAGAUUUGUGGUAACCCCAUGAUAUGGGAAAAGCUCGACCUAUCUUCAAUUUACCUAUGCUGCCAAGAGUUUGUAGGGACGAUUUAGUUUCAAAAAAUAAAUUGAUCACAUGCUUGAAGUAUGCUCUACAUAUGAGCAAUUAAAUACUAAUUACCUAGGGUUCAAUUUCUUCAUAUACUUGACAGAUGCAAAGUUAAUCUUCAUUGCUGAAAGGUAUCAUUUGUUACUUACAACUGUACACAAUUUGUAUGUUAUGUAGGACAAUAUAUUUCUCCUUUUCCUAUCUCAUUUUGUUCAUCUCCUUAAUUUUUUGGAAUUCAUGCUAACAGGAUAAUUCUCAGAAUUUAUUUUUGAUGAUUUGUUUUAUAACCUAUGAAUAUAUAAUCCAUUACUUUUUGGGACUAAGUUUUAAGUUUUUAGAUAAAAAUAUCUCACUUCUAUUAAAAUUUAACCACGCUUUUAUUUAUUUAUUUAUGAAAAACCAGCAAAAUGAAUGUAUAAAAAAGUGGAGUACAAGGGUACUCCAACCUAUUGUAGUACUAGUCGAAUUGUUUAUUUGUUUGAAGUAGCAGAUAUAUAUUGCUUCUUUAUGAAGUGUAUUGUUUCAAUUGCAUCAUUUUACAACAACACUUGUCUGAAAACCUUAAGUUAGUGGCUCCAAUCAAAUAUAUAUAUAUAUAUAUAUGUGUGUGUGUGAUCACUCUUUAUUAGUCUUGCGGUAAUUUAAUAUGUGUUUUCUAUUUUGUAGGACACCAAAACUAAAAAGAUUAGUAUUGCCGUUCAAACGCAAACUGCCCAAGAAUGCAGUAGAUAUUGCAAUGAAAUCAAGGGAAGGCCUUGAAUCCAUCACCAUUACCGCUAUGGUAAGGCCAAGUCGCAUUUUUUCUGCCAUUAGUAAGUAAUGCAUGAUUAUCUAUGAACUGAAAUUUACUAGCGACUUGGGCAUAAGUGAAGCAUAUCUUGUGGUUCAUUACACCCCAAAUUUGAAGCUUUUGAAUGUUCCAUUUUCCAACUUCUGAUCUUUGAUUCUGAUAUUCUUAUGUAUCUUUAGACGUGUUUCUGAUAUAUUGCUUCUGAUGUCAUUAUAAUAUGCUUAUAAUAUUUAGAAUUUCAAUCAUUGGUAUCCGUUGACUUGAAAUUCUGAUACACCUGAUCUACGACCUCAAAUACAGUUGUUUUCCAUUCGUUUGCUCAAACAAUUUAUUUUGAGUUUUGAGAUGAGAAUCAAUAUUGAAUACCAAUUCUGAACUUCCUGGUUUAGACAUUCUAAAGUGCUUCUAACCUACAAUUUUGAUUUGAUGACAUGCAUUUGUGCUUCUUAUGUAUAUCAUGAAGUUCCUUUUAAUUUAAGAAUUGUGUUCCUUAGAUUGACAUGGAUCAUUGGUCAAUCUUGUUCUAUAAUAUUUUAGUUCUUAUGAGAUGUUUUUGAUUUCAUUCUAGAGUGCUUCUGACCAUUCUAAAGUCCUUCUUAACACUUGAUGUUGUUGAGAUUCAUGUUUCUUUAGAUAUUUGUGCACUUGUAAUAUCAUGUUCUAGAAAAUGCUUAAAAAAACUUGUUAAAAAACAACACAUAUAAGAAUCAAUUUGAUCUAUUUAUUUAAAUGAAGUUUGUUAUCAUUAAGAUACCAAAUACAUCAAUUGAUCAGGAAACUUGAAAAGUUUUUACUUAUAAUAGUGACCGGAGGGUGUAUUUCCAUUAAUUAGUUUUUCGAAGUACAUUUUGUCAAAAAAUUGAAUUUCAGAAGACAGAUAUACUUGUAUUUUGAAAUUUAAUUUUUUAAGAAAAUGAUAUAAAAUUAUUUAUUUUAAAAACUUUAAAUAAAACAGUAUUUUGGAUAAAAGAUUUUAAAGAUGAUAUAAUUUGUGGGGGUAAAAUUGUGCUAAAGAGUGGAUUAUAAGAAAAAUAGGGUGGUUUAAAAGAAACACCAUGUAAUUUGGCUAAUUUAUAUGUUGUUCAUCAUGACACUAAAGGUCGGCCAAUUUCACAACAUAUUCCUUUGCUCAAUACAAUAAAGAGUAAUGAUAUAUAUGUCUUUCGGCCUACGAGAGUAUAUAAUAGCUUUUUUGCUACCGUGUAAGAGAAAACCUAGAUCAACAUAGAGUUUAGACCUAAUCGACUAGAGUAGGCGAUCAUGUAUACAAUCUUAGUACAAUUUAGUUUUGUUUUUAAGUUCCAACAUUAUUCACUUAUAUCGUGAUUUAAACACCUUGAUUUAUUCUUGAGAUAUUGCAAUAUUUUUUGUGUAAAUGGUAGUUUAAAGAAUGAGACAUGUCUAGAAAUUAGUUAUGUAGUUGUCGGCCAUGCCCAAUGCAAAAGGUUGUAUUUAUUGUCCCUUAUUUUUAAGCUUUUCCAUGAGUUUGUGUUUUAUGGGUAUGCAAUAUUGGUUUUGAAAUGAUUUUUUUUUUUUUUAAAUAUAUGGAUAAUCAAAAAUUCAUUUUCAGAUCUGAGAAUUCAAAUUGAAGUUUAAAUUGUCCAAUUUGAUUCUCAAAUCUGAAAAUGAAUUUGUGAUUAUCCCUAUAUUUAAAAAAAAAAAAUCAUUUCAAAACCAAUAUUGCAUACCCAUACAACACAGUCAUGGAAAAGCUUAGAAAUAAGGUACAAUAAAUACAACCUUUUGCUUCGGGCAUGGCCGACAAAUACAUAACUAAAUUUUAGACAUGUCUCAUUCUUUAAACUACCAUUUACACAAAAAAAUAUUGCAAUAUCUCAUGAAUAAAUCAAGGUGUUUAUGUCGCGAUAUAAUUGAAUCAUGUUGGAACUAAAAAACCAUACUAAAUUGUACUAAGAUUGUAUACUUGAUUCGCCUACUCCAGUCAAUUAGGUCUAAACUCUACGUUGAUCUAGGUUUUCUCUUACACAGUAGCAAAAGAGUUAUUAUACUCUCGUUGGCCGAAAGACAUAUAUAUCAUUACUGUUUAUUGUACUAAGAAAAGGAAUAUGUUGUGAAAUGGGCUGCCCUUUAAUUUAGUGUCAUGUUGAACAACAUAUGAACUAGCCAAAUUAGAUGGUGUUUUUUUACACCACCCUAUUUUUCUUAUAAGCCACUAUUUAGCACAAUAUUUUCCCCAUAAAAUAUCAUCUUUUAAAUCUUUUAUCCAAAAUACAGUUUAAUUUAAAAAAAUUAAAUUACAUAAUUUUAUAUCAUUUUCAUAAAAAAUUAAAUUUGUAAAAUACAAGUAUAUAUGUCUUGUGAAAUUCAAUUUUUUGACAGAAUGUACUUCGAAAAACUAAUUAAUUGAAAUAUACCUUCCAGUCACUAUUAUAAGUAAUAACUUACUUUUCAAGUUUCUUGAGUAAUUGAUGUAUCUGAUCUAUAUUAUAGACUGGAUACAUCAUUUAUUCAAUGAAUUCAAAAAAAUUUUUUUUGCUUAUAACAGUGACCAGAGGGAGCAUUUGUGAAAAUAAUUUUUUUCGAAAGGUAUGAAUUUUCCAAUAAGGGAGUCCACAAUCACCCAUAAACCAUACCUUAACCUGAACUCCUAUAAUUUUUCGUGAUGGUUUUUGACUCCAACAUCUGAAAUGAGUAGAGUUUUUGUUUUCACAAAUUCCUAUGACCCAAGGACUUGGUCAUAUACAACUACUUCAACCUUGACCAUAUCGUCAUCGUGAUUAUCUCAUUUGUGACUUCUCUCAAAACUUUAUUUUUCCAAAAAAACAGUGGUACUCUUAGCCUUAUCCCCCAUCUCGAUCUUGUCUGCUUAUGACAUGGUAGCCAGCAACGCAACCUCACCUUUCAAUGCCUUUGCAUUGUUGAUGAACGUUUUAGGGACAAUUAUAAUUCCCGCCAAAGGUAUCUUUUUUCAUUAUGCUGCUUUGUACCAAAUAUACCUUUGUGAAUAUGUUUAUAUUUAUUGUAUAGUUUGUGUUAUUUUGACAUGGAACAUUGUAGCUUAGUUUUAGAUUUAGUCAUGGAAUUUGAGGAUGCAUGGUUGAUGGAGAUUGUGGGAGUCGAAAGAUGACAGAAAAUGGGGGCAUGAUAAAUUUGAGGGAAUUUCAGUGCAAGAUAGGAGCUAUGAUGAGGUAAUGAUCUUUAUAGUGCUUUGUGAUCACACAUUCAUUUUAGUUCAAUUGUCAUUUUUCUAAGACUCUUUUCUAAUGUUGUGUGUAUGAAAUUUAGAGGAGAUCUUCUAGGGGUAAUUUUCGAGUGUAGCUUUUGUCUAAAUCAGGCUGACGCACUGUGAUUCAACCAAACUCUCUCAAUCCUAUAAUGAGAUAGAUGAUCUUGUCUUUUUUUUUGUUGUCACUUUUAUUUUAAAUAUUUCUGACAUAGUUUAUAUUAAUUUAUUUCAUUGGUUCCUUUAGGUCGAGGUUUUUUCGAAUUCCGAUUCUCAUGUGUUGAUGAUCUUAGAAGUGUUUGGUCGAAUGGAACUUGGAACUUGAAGCCGGGGCUGUUACGAUUAUCCCGUUGGUCACCGGAUUUUAAUUCAUUUAAUCAGAAACAAACUCAUAGUCAGGUUUGGUUGCGUUUUCAUUAUCUCCCUCUGGAAUAUUGGCAACCUAUAACUCUUUUUGAGAUUGCAGGGGCUAUUGGUACGCCUAUUUUAAUUGAUGAGAGUACUAGAAAUCAUUCGUUUGGUCAUUAUGCAUGUAUUCUAGUAGAUAUUAAUUUGGCUGGAUUUCUUCCUGAAUCUUUGUGGGUUGAACGAGAAAAAUUUACUUUUGAAAUUGAGAUUGAGUAUGAAAAUCCUCCAUACUAUUGUUUCACUUGCAAUUCUAUUGGUCAUUCAACGGAUCAUUGUAAAAAAGAUCUUGCCAAUAAAAUUGCUUGCGAAAUGGUUUCUACUAAGAAUGCUCCUGCAAAACAAUUCAAACAUGACCCUAAAAAGUAUGUAGUGAAAGAAUGUCGUAAAGGUGUGGCAGAUGAAGAUCCUAUUAUUAGUGAUAUAAUAAGGUCCAAGGAGGUAGAAACUAGUGCACUGAUAAGAAAUAUUAUUAACUUUGAGGAAGAGUUGUCUGCUAGCAUCUCUGUUGGAACAGCUCGUUUGCAAUCAACACAGAUUGAAGAUGUUCAGACCACUGAGCUGAUUGAGAAACAAAGAGAAGACCAACAUAGUAGCAAAUUUCCUGAUAUGCGCAUCGUUGGUCCUUGGAGUGAUGUCGUAACAGACUUGGACUAUAUUCAAGAUCCACUAUAUUGGUGUGGUUUAGAAUCUUCCAAUGUCGAUGUUUCUAAAGAGGUUUUAAAUCCUAAUGUCGCUCAUGACUUGGAGAUCUUGCAGAAGCAUGUUUGGAAUGGGAGCGAUGCUAGAGGCAUCGGGCCUAGAGUUUACACUGAUGAGGAAGAAAACGCUGCAGCUCUUAAUUACUUGAAGAACCGUGGUAUUGGUUCUACUACUACUGAAGAGCCUUUCAUCGAGGUGAUGUCUAAGGCUAAGAAAAAGAAGGUUCAAAAGGGUUUUCAGAUUCACAAUACCCGCUCUAGGGUAAGUUACUGUAGUUGUCUGUUUGUUUCUAUCCUGCUCCUUCUUUUUUCCUUUUGGUUUGUUUUUGCCUUUUUGUUGUUUCUUCUCUUUAUGGGUUUAACUUUUGUCCCCAUUUUUGCGUUGCUUUUAUCGUUUGAGAAGGUUUUGGUUUAUGUCCCCCUUCUCUGUUUGUUCUAAUUUCCGUUAUCUUAUUUUUAUAUAUAUCUAGGGUGUUGCAGUUGGUUUACCAUCUGCUCCCCAUUUGAUUAAAAAAAAAAAAUUAUUUCAUUGCUGUUUCUUUUAAAGAGUUUAAAGGGCAAUGAGAUCCUAAUACUUUGCCACAUCAGCUGAUUGUCGCUAUCACGUCGCAAAACUAAUGAAAUGAUGUAGCAAGUUAGUGGGUUUGCAUUGGAUGAUAGUUUUUAAAUGUCGCUUAAACAAGUCUUAAUGUAGUUUUUGAUUUCUAGGUAUAUUCUUUUAUUAUAACUUACAGGUCUGUCAGUUCAAUACCACUUGCCACAGUCGAAGCAAAAGAGAUAUCGGGUGCAAGGCCUGCUGAAGUUUUGAACUUGAGUAGACACCGCAUACUGCUGUUGUUUUUGUUCUUAAUAGCUGUUCUUCUAAAUUUUGCAGAAUUUUGAAUGAUUUUAAUGAAUGAAAAUUUAGAAGGGUUAAUAUCAUUAAAACUUACGCAGUUCAUUUUUUCGAUUUUUACUCAAGUGUUGAGUUUGUGCGGAGACAAGCAAACGAGGUCGCUCAUAAUUUAGCUAAGGCGGCCUUGUUGUCAGCUAGUCCCCAAUUACUGGUAACAAUACCACAUUGUAUUGAACACAUCUUGAUAAAUGAAAUGCAAUAAGUUUAUUCCUCUCAAAAAAAAAAAAAAAAAAUUCGAUUUUUAUUUUUCUGUGAUUCUGUCUGCAAUGGCGUCAAAAACCUUAUUCAACCAAGAGCAAUUUGCUAAAUUUUAUGUUAAUAAAAAUUCAUUUUUUGAAAAGUAUAAAAAGACAUUGUAAUAUAGCGAAAAAUGAAAAGUUCUUCCCAUAAUAUCAUUUCUUCUAUUAUUCAUCAGAAUCUGAAUUCCACCGAGUGUUACUGUAAAUUUCUGUAUAAUGUGGUUCAAAAUAAAAUUAACUCUAAUCAAACUUUGUGUAAUUAUGUGACGACCGUCACUCUGAAUGUUUUGUCUUCUCUUUCAGUACAUGGUAAAUGGGUUGGAUCUUCAACUGGAAUACAAUUGUGGAUCCUUUAAAUGGAGAGCCAUUUAUUAAAGUUGUUGAAGUUGAUGAAACAGGCGUUCAGGUCCGUUUCAUGAAAUAUUCCUUUCGUCGAGCCCUGAAGAAACCUCUGUUUUGUGAAAACUUAACAUGAUAUAUUCAAGGAUGUAUUCUUUUAUUACCACCUUACUCUUCAAACUAUGGAAUAUUAAGUGACCAAGGCAUUGCCUAUCAGUCACCACUCAACACCCAUUGCUUCGAAAAAGGGUUCAAGUUUAAAGCUUAAACCUCUGUGGGUGUGACAAGAUUCUCAUCAUUUUAUGAAAAAAAAAAAAGGAGAAACACAAAUUUGAGUUUGAAGGCUAUAAACGAGUCGAUUGAAAAUUCAAUAAAUGCUUUAGCACGACAAUCUUGACUAAUUUUUUUCCAAUUUUUUUACUUAUCAGCCCUUUGUAGAAAGCUUGUCCAGCUGCCACAAGCAUGGUUUGCACAAUCCUUUUAAGGUAUGUGCAGCUUUCCUUUUCAAAUGGAAAUGUGAGUUGAUCUUCAGAUGGUUGGUUUUCAAAGUGUCAAGAAGUGCUAAUCCUUUUCAAAUGUUUUCAAUUGUCAUUUUUCUAAGACUCUUUUCUAAUGUUUGGUUGAAUCUGCCACAAAAACAGGAUGUACAAAAUGGCAGCACCAGCAGGAAUAUUCACCCUCUUAUGGAUGAGGGUUUUCCGAUUCAACAAAACAAUAUGAUUCAUUGGGGAAAGAAUGUUGUUGAUUCCAUCAGCAUGGACAAGCUGUAUACUGGGUUCUAGUUUAAGGAAAUCAAAAGAUAGCAGAUCAAAGAAAGCAAAGGUACAAUUCACUUCCUACCAUUUAGUUUAUUUAUCUAAUCUUGAAAGGAGUAAGUUGCUUGACUGUCAAAAAAUUGACGUAAAUCUCUUUAUGCGUUAUUUUCUGUCUUGAAUUUUAGUGGCCAUUAACUUAAAGCAACGUGUAUACUGUUUGGUAUUGUCAAAUAGCAGCUACAAACUCUAUCGUGUGGGAUUUGAACAAAUCACUUUAUUAUUCAGUAACAUUUAUGCAACAAAAUUUGCUACAGUUGUACCUAAACUGUUAGCUAUAGAUUGGCUACAAAUUAGCUACAGAUUGGCUACAAAUUAGCUACAGAUUAGCUACCUACUAAGUAUUAUUUUUUAAGACUUACAAGUAAUAAUCUCAAGUACUGUUACUGAAAUUAUUUAGUAACACGGGUUUUACCUAACAUUUGUCAAAAGUUACAAGAUCUAAAUAGUAACAUUUGUUUUUGAUUUAGUUACAAUUUUGAAUUGUUACUAAAUCUCAUAUGUGUUGUAGUGAUGUAUGUUUGUAGUUAUGUUUUGGUAUCAUACAUAUUUUUUGGACCUUUCACUUCAAUGUUGAAUGGUCAUGUAAAGAUUUUUUUAACAAAGUUGGGUGAAAAAAGGGGAUCAAUUUGUUACGAAAAACAAAUUAAAUGACUAACUUUUACCAACAUAAAAAGAACUAAUCCUCUAAAAAUGUUAGACUUAAAGGACCUGAAAAAUUAAUGUCUUUAAAGUAAACGGACUUUAGAAUCCUAAAAUGGCACAAUUCAUCGUCUUCACCACUUAUCAAUAGGUCUCAAUAUUUCACAAUCAAUGUAAACUUCUCACAACAACGUUCUAUCAAAAUGUUUAAGUAUUUCACAAUCAAUGUAAACCAACAACAAUAGUUUUUGCACGAGUUACUUGAACAUUGUCUUAUACCUUAUACCACUUCUAUCUUAAAAAUAAAAUUAAAGUUUUCAACCCAAAUAUUUUCAUCUAACUGGUUUUUUCAAAUUUAAUUUUCACAUAAAACAACCAACAAUCUAAUUUUUCACCUCUAACUGAGAGAUGCUAGCAAAGCAAUUUAGUUCAUGAUCUAAAUUAUCAAUGUUAAACGAUACACAUGUAAUGUUAUCACUCGAGCAUAGGUUCAAAAGAAGCAUAACAUUCAAAGAAGUAUGAGUUUGCAGACAUAACUUCAUAUGGCACACAGCUGUUUAUAGAUACGAUUUUAGGGUUCCCUUGAUGCCUCUGAUGAUGGAGUCUAUGACUUCAUUGGAUUUCAAGCAAAUGAAAUAUUGAUCUCUCAGUCAUUUAGAGCAGUAGGUAACUAAUGAUCUCAUCUAGUAUUGUUCUAAAAUUAUUGUCAUUUUAUUCUUUGGGAUCAAUAACAUUAUUACUUACUAAGAAUAAUAUUACUGGCAUGAGGACCUCACUGUCAUAUUAAAGUGAAACUGAUAAUUAUUUUACAAUUGUAUUUGGAGGGAUUUGAAUUCCUCCCUUAAAGUUAUAAAGUCAAACUUUUACUACUGAGUUGAGAUCUCAUGGACUAACAAUAAAUAAACUAAUGAGAAGGUUCUAAAUUGCAUCUGUCAAUCAUCCGUACAAAAUCGGUUCGUGGCUAAUACGACCAAAUCAUUGUUGAAAUUUAAGGCCUAACUCAUCUGUACAAAACCGAUUCAUAAGGUGAGAAAUGCUUCCUCUUUAUAAACUAUUAUCAAGAGUCUUAUGUAUCCGAUGUGGGACUUGGAUGUUUUCCAAUAUACCCCCCCUCACUCAUAGCUCUCUUUUUGGGCUUGGUGUGUGAAUGGGUAGGUCGCCCUUGAAUUCGACAAGUAAUUGGGCUUGGUGCGUGGAUAGAUAGGUGGCCCUUGAAUUCGACAAGCUCUGAUACAAUGUUGAUUGAAAUUUAAGGCCUAACUCAUUCGUACGAAACUGGUUCAUAAGGUGAUGAGUGCUUCCUCUUUAUAAACUCUUAUCAAGAGUCUUAUCCAUCCGAUCUGGGACUUAGGCUUUACCCAAUAGUUAUUGUCAUACCCCAAUUUUUGACCUAAGGUCCCACUGACACUUGUCACUUGACUCUGAUCGAUCUCUGAUUAUUCAGUAAAAAAAAUCGGCAGGGAGGUAUUUUAAAAUACCUCAUUUUUGAUUCCGAGUCAGACCCUCUUUUCUCUUUUUAUUUUCUUUCCAUAUUUUAUUAAUUUUAAUUUUAAGAUUAGUUACUUUUUUAUAUUUAAUAAUUUUUAUUUUCCAUCUUUUAAUUUUAUUUUACUUUACAUAAUUUAGUUUAAUUUGUUUUUAUUUUAUUUCGUAUUAGAUUUAUUUUAUUUUUAUUUUAUUUCUUUUUAAUUAAUUAGUGUCCAAAAAAAGAAAAAACAAAGUGUCAAUAGGUCCAAAAUAAAAUGUACAAGGUCUAAAAAAAUUUAAAUCAAGUGUCAACUUUAACAUUUCUUUUUCAAAAUUCACCAUAAUUGUCCAUCAUUUCCAUUAAACCAAUUUUCCAUUUUUCAUUAACCUCCUCACCUAUAAAUAGAACCCUCAUUCCACACAAUUUCACACACCAAAAAGUUCUCUUGAGUUGUCAAAGAACUUUUCUCUCUUCUCCCUUUUUAGCUUGUGUUGACGAGCUAUUCUUUUCUUCUCCCUCUUUUUUCUGUCCCUUCGGAAUUUUGUCCCUUCGGUAAUUUUUGUCCCUUCGGUUGUCCAUUUCUUUUAUUUUCUUGCAUUUUAUUUAUUUUUAGCAUUUUAUUUUAUUUCUAUUUAGCAUUUUAAUUAUUGUUAUUUAUUUUCCAUCAAUUAUAAUGUAUUUAGGUCCAAUGUAAAUAUAAAUGAGAAAAGUGUGUGGGUGUGUGUCCUUUUAUUUCUUUACCGCCUUAUAUAUAUAUAUAUAUAUAUACAAAAAUGAAAAAAAUUAGAUUAGGGAUUUUGGUGGCGAUCCAACGUCACUACAAAAAUCCACGCGCUUUUAUUUUUAUUGCUCCGUUAGUUUAAUUUUAAUUUAAUAUUCCAAAAACAACAAAAACAUGCAAAUAAUCAAAAUCACAAAAAUAUUUUCAUAAUAAACCUUGAUUCCAAAAUCAAGUGAUCCUUUUUUUUAUUUCAUUUUUCUUAAUCAAACUUUCAAUCAAUUUAAUCAUAUCUUGAGUCCAUUUUCUUUUAAAUUAAAAAAUACAAACCUAAUCUGAUUUGCCACUUGGCUUUUCUUUUAAAACCUUUUUCAAAACUAAUAAAAAACACUUAAUUAAUCAAACGUCAAUAUCUACCCCGAACUACGAGGUUUUGAUCCUUCAUGGGUACGUAGGCAGAGGACCAUGUCCUUCCAAAUCAAUAAAAAUGUAGAUAAUUAGGUCUUUAUUUUUCCACAUUAAUUCCUUCUUUUCAAAAAAUAAGCAAGCAAGUUAUAGCACAUUAAUUAAAUAAAAUCAAGAGGUUCUCGUAGAGUACUACGAAUAUUUAGAGUGCUAACACCUUCCCUAAAUAUAACCAACCCCCGAACCCAAAAUCUUUUCAAAAUGGGGUAGUUUGAACCUUUUUCCCCCUUUUCUUAAUAAAAUUAAAUGUUGAGUUGUGAAAUAAAUUAGUGAGUCAAAAGCUAAUCAAAUAGCCUUGAUCUCCAAAAAAUGACGCGACAGUUAUGAUUGCAGUAUAUUCACAUAGACAACAUAAAUAUAGAUAUUGUGUUCAUAAUCUAUAAUACAGUGACACAGACAAGAACAACAAAAACAAUACUGAGACAUAGAAUCUAGUAAUAAUUUGAAAAAAAAAUACAAUAAUUGAAUGUAACUGUAUAUGUCAGUGUCAUCAAUCACAACUUCAAAUGUUGGUGCUACCUCGAUCGUAAUAGUUGCUGUAGACCACAAUUUAAUGUGGUCUUGGUUUUGGUUGUAGUACACAGCUGCAACAAUGGUUGUAUUAAACACAUUAUUUGUGAGCGAUUUUUCACAAUGCCAAAAAUUGCGACCUAACUGCACAUCCACAAUUUACAAUCUUGAGUUUAGGUCAAAGUUUACAACAUGCUAUAGUAUAACUUAAAUAUUUUCAUGCAGAGAAAUUGCUGGAAAACACCGGAAACACAAAAGGGAAAUGAUUAAUGGCAUCUACUACAUUGGGAUUCUAGAAAGUAACAGCCAAUGGUUUGAAGAACAAUAGCUUAAUUCUUCAUCGGUUAUCCUGUAAUUGGCUAUCAAGGAAAAAUUCAAGCUUCAGGUUCAUGCUUAUAUUCAACAAAAAUAGACACAUCAUGUGCUUGGGAUCCAAGAAUCAAAGGAUUGUUCUACUAUGAGUCAACAACAAUUUUCACUGCUUCUUGAAUUUGGAGACUUUAUCAACUAUGUGAAGAAAUUAAGAAACAUAAAUCCACAAAAUUUUUGUGGCAUAGAUAUUUAUAAUGGAAUUUUGAUACGUUACAUUAAAGCCUCGGAAGUAUAUCUAGGACAAUCAGAAGACUCUGUAGUGAUUGAUUUCAACUAUUAUCGUGCAAAUGAUCAAUUUCCUGCUAGAUUAAACCAAGAUGUGUGGGAGAAAUUGGAACAGAUUGCCUUUUCAAGUAUAGUGCUAAGCCACAUUGGGAUAAGAAUAGGAACUUAGCAUUUUUAAAUGUGCAACAUAAAUAUCCGAAGUUUAAUCUUUUUAUUGAAGCAAAAAAACAAAUGGAUCCACAAGAUGUAUUCUCUGGUGAUUAGUCACAUGAGAUUUUGUAUGGGAAGGAAUUGGUAAAAUUUGAUGGUUGUGCUUUGGAAGGACAAUGUAUUUGUUUUGAAGAUAGACAUUAUGGUCCAAAAAAAAGUGUAUUGGUUCGAAUAAAAAAUACCAAUAAAAAAUGGGCACCACGUCAAUUAAUUUGCUAAAUUACAAAAAUAUAGUUUUUUUAGAUAUACUAAUUAGUGUAGAAAUGAAUAAAUUUUAUAAUUAAAUAAAUAAAAUAAAACACCAAUUAAAAUUGACUACCUUUUGACCAAAAAAUGAAUAAAAAUGCCAACCUUUUGACCAAAAAUAAAUAAAAAUGGCUACCUUUUGACCAAAAAUAAAUAAAAAUAAAAACCUUUUGACCAAAAAUAAAUAAAAAUGGCUACCUUUUGACCAAAAAUAAAUAAAAAUGGAAACCUUUUGAUGAAAAAUAAAUAAAAAUGGCACCUUUUUGACCAAAAAAAAGGCCACCUAGCCAACCGUUGUUUCGUUCAUUCAGUCCUCCAUUUGCUAUUUAUACAAGCAUUUUCUAAACCUUAUUGUCCCAAUCCCUAAUAGCUUGCUGCAGAUGCAGCUCCUCUGGAGAACCACCUACUUUUAAAAAUAUGUUGGCCGCCAGUGCUCCUUAACUACUUUUCGCAAAAAUUCAACGCUAACAAAUGAAUGUUGUAGGUAUAUAUCUUUUCAAUUAUUCAUUUGUUAGUUGUGUGUAUCAUUUUUAUUCAUUUUAAUCUUUAUUAAAUCCAGAUCUGCAAUCUUUUCUCAUGCAGAGAAUACUUUGACGCUAAACGUGUUAAAGAUGGUUUCAUUUCAUCAUCACUUUCGUCUUCCAUGUGUUUUAUGUGGUCGAUCACAACUUCUAUCUUUUUUAUUAUUUUAACGGCUGUGAUUUCUUUGUAGAGAUAGAGAAGCAAAUGUAUGCCUUGUAUCUAAUUUAAUUUUAGUUAUUCAUAUAAUAGAAACGUACAUGACCAUGGUAUAAAGUGCCACCGAGGAGAAAACAUACCAACAAUUUUGGAACUAGAUCUUUCCCUUUGAUUUUUCACUUGCCGAUUUUUUAGAUUAAUAAAUCUAUCAAAUGAUCAAAUGCAUGCAUAGAUGAAAAAUGUUAAAAACGGUUACGACGAUUAACACAAUGAAUGAUUUCAUAUCUUACAUUCAAACAAUAAUCGGAAAAAUUGGCGAUGAGAAGGUUGACAGAAUACACCGUGUCGUUUAGUAAGAGAGAAUUAGUCGGAAACAAGUCUAGAGGGAGUCAUAGGGAUUUCAUACCUUACUCAAUGACACCCUCUAGAAAUGUUUCCGACUAAUUCUCUCUUGCUCAAUGACGCAGCUUAUUCCCUCAACCUUCUCCAUCGUUGAUUUUUCCCAUUAUUGUCAGCAUGUAUGAUAUGAAUUCCUUCAUUGUAUUAUUCGUCGUAAUUGUUUUUAACCGUUUCCAUCUAUGCAUGCAAUUGAUAGAUUUAUUGAUCAUUUUCUUUGACAGUGAUAGUUGCUCAAACUUCAAAGAGAUCUAAACAAUCGGCAAGCAAAAAAACUAAGGGAAAUGGUUCCAAAAUUGUUACUAUGUUUUCUCCUCAGUGGCACUUUAUACCAUCAUGUUUUUAUUAUAUGAAUAACAAAAUAUUAAAUUAGAUAUAAGGCAUAUGUUUUCUUCUCUAUCUCUAUUGAAUAUUUUGAAAUCUCUGAUCUAUUUAAUUUAUUUAUUUGUUUUGUUUUGUUUUGUGCAAGCUUUGCUUCUUGAUGAUGGAACAAUUCCAAGCACAACAACGGAAACUUCAUCAAUGAAUGAAAUAGCUUUUAACAUUAUGGAAAUAAGUCAACAUAUGGAAGGUUUGAUGAUGGAUGGAAACAUUUUAAAAAAUCAUCUUAGCGUGGUUUUAAAAAAUCAUGUUAUUAUUUAUGUGCUUUUUUAUGUAACCAUAAAAGCCAGCCAUAUUAUGGAUUAUGAAUCUUGUUCUAGUCUAAUUGUGUUGUUUCAUUUACUCAGUAAGUUGGAACCUUUUUUUACUUUUGGAAGAUCCUAGUUUUGACUUAUAUUCCUAAUUUAUUUGAACAUUAUAAGGAAUUGAAACAGGAGAAUAAUUGUUUGUGUUUGGAGAAUAUGAUUGUUUCAAGAGUUUUGCUAACAAGCACGCACUUGUUAAGGAUUUGAAAAUUGAAAUAAAUAAGUUUUAUGCAGAAAUAAUUACUUUUUCAAAAACUUUUAUAUGCUAUAUAUAGUGAACCAUAUUCUGCAUCUUUUACGAUAUCCCCAAUUGACCUUCGUUUUUGUUUUGAAUUUCCAGAAAUUUUAUUCUUCAUAAGUAGCAAUACUCAAGCUCUUCUCAAGCCUCCGAGAAUCAAGUGGCGAUGAAACGGGAGACCGGAGAAGAGAAUGAUGCACCAUCAACUGAAUAUGUAAUAAGGCACAUUUCAUCCAUAAGCUUCCAUAUUUCAUCUCUAAAUCAACUUGGAUCUCUAAUCUGUAUUAACAUGGUUGGUGUCCCACACUUCAGGACAAUAAACAUAGCAAGUAGAAAUUCCCAGAGAUUUGGAACUUUUUUUGCUGUUGGUAGAUCUUUGUUUUGACAUAUAUCCCCAAAAUAUACUCUUGGAUGGGAGUGGUUAUGGUGCAUAAGGAAAUCAUUAUGCACCAUGCAUAAAUCCCAACAUAAUUGCUUCCUACACCCCCAAAGUGAGCCAAAAUCAUUUUUGUUCAAAAUGAAAGAAAUCUAAUGGUUGUGAUGUGUUUAUGCACGGUGCAUAAGGAAAUGGCUUAUGCACCAUAACUUUUGCCCUCUUGGAUCAUGAAACACCGUUGAAUCUAAUAACGAACAAUCAAUACAUGAUUUUUCUUUCCUUUUCUUUACCUUCAUCCAUCUUUACAGACAUACACAAUGACAGAAUUUUGUACAUUAGCACAUUGUCACAUGGUUCUUGUAUCACCCUUCUUUUUCUAUAUCAAUGAAGGUCAUUUUAUUAGUAUUGUUUUCAUCAUACUGCAGCAGGUAUAUAGCCUCCAUUAAUUGUUGAUGUUCUUGGAACUAAAUCAACUUGGUUCUUUAAACAUAGCAAGUAGAAAUUCUCUGAGAGAUCCACAUCAGGUUCACAUUUCGUACCUUUUUUCUGCUUAUUUUAAGAUAAAAAUCAAAACAAAUGUAGUUUAGACACAAUUAUUUUAAGAUAAAUAGCACUGUACUUGCAGAAAAAGUACAAUAAGGAUUCUAGGGUUAAGAAUCGUCUAUUAGGGUUUAGACUGAAUAUUGGAUGCUCUCAAUGGUGGUAUUUAUAGCCUUCUAUGGGCUUGGGUUUUAGUUGCUUAGUCUCCAAGUAAUAAAGGUAUUUAGGUAUUUAUGGCUGUUUCUAGAAGAUUCUAGAGGUUUAGUAAGGCGGUUAUCUGAGAAACAUGCGCCUUGGGCCUUUGGGCUUUCUUCAAGGCGCUGAGUCCUUCCUGAGGGUCUAAGGAGCCCUUUUGGAGGUCUUUUAGGUCCUUAGGAAUAUUAUGACGGUCCACAGCCCCCAAGCACAAGUCUUGGUACAAGGCGCGGUGCUUUAGAGCUGGAGAAUAGAUUUAGGCAAGCUUUCUUGGGGUCCAGAAAGGCGACGUCUUGUGAGAACGCGUCUGGAACCCACAGACUUUUUGAAGGACCUUUUUAAGUCCUUACGAAGGCGUUUAAGAUCCUUCCGAGGGUCUCUAAGCUCUUCGGAAUAUUAUGACGGUCCACAGCUCCCAAGCACAAGUCUUGGUACAAGGCGUGGUGCUUCAGUUCUAAAGUGAUCUCACUGGCGUUCUCAUGUUUCGAGCGAGAUGGUUUAUAUUUAGAUUCCCUUUUCAUCCAACGGUCCACAUCUUCCGACCUUUGCGUUUCUAAUGGCGUGCUACCUCUUCAUUCGAUCUGUUACACGUGUUGGUGAUCCGCUGAAUCCGCACGUUUUCCGAGAAAUCAAAAGUUUCUUUUUCUCUUUAAAAGAGGCGAAAAAACCCUUCUCUUCUCAUUUUACUUCGUCGUUUCAGUUUCUCCGUGGCAAAAGAACACUCCUUUUCUGCUUUUGACUGUUCGUUUGCAAAGACUCAGGUAAUCUGCUCGCUCCUUUCCUCUUUUUACUUUGUUUUGGUAUACCCAUGGUAGUAGUUAGGGAGUGUGAUGAGAGCAGGAGAGAAUUACCUCCUUCAGAUCCUUUAGACAGGCAAAAACUACGAUUACAAUGUUUGAAGCAUGCUACUUGAAAAAAUGGUUUAAUUGAGUGGAAAGUGUACGAUUCCACUUAUUUUAGCCAUAUGACUUUCUCCGACAUUUCUAGCGAGAGCGACUGUAGCGAUUCUGACAAUAGUGAUUGUGUUUUAUUAUAUUCAAACCCAGGAGAUAGUUUUGGAAAAGAAAUCGUCGAGGUCUCCUCUUCAAAAAUGGUUCGUGGAAAGAGUACCCAACUUGCAUGUCAGGAAACCGACAUUGAAUACUUUUCAGACGACGUGCAACGAUAUGAGUCUACGUACAACGAUCAGGCGAAGGUGAACUUUUUUAGGAGUAAGCUCUCAGUUUCGUCCACGAAAAGAGAGGAAGAUAUUGUCUUGGCGCCUUGCCCCUCCGGCGAGAAGGUGUGUACUAUGCGCCCCAAGGGAGCGAAAGAGAUCUUCCAUAUGCAUGGCGCCGUAUUGGAGGAGUUCGGGGUAAAAAUUGUAACGCCCUAAUUGUUAUUUAAUUAUUUUUAGUUGAUUUAAAGUCUUUUAUAUGAUUUUUAAAUGAUUUAUGUUGAUUUUGUGGUGUGGUGUAUUUUAUUAAAUGGUUAUUUUCAUUAUUUUAUAGAAUAAGUGGAGAAAUAGAAUUAUUUUGGAGUGUGGGAGUUAAUUGGGAUUUAAUAAAAAUUAAGGGAGUUUAAUGAAUAAAGGGGAGUUAUAGUUUAGGAGUGAGGAAAAAGAAAAGGUCAUAAGCAGUUUUACGUGAAACAAGUUUGGGAGAGAAAAUCAAGAACAAGGGUGGGAAGAACAAGUGGAGUCAGAGAAUCCGAUUGUUGUGCUUUUGUUCAUCUAAAUUAAGGUAAGGGUGAGACUAUCUCUCAAUAAUCAUAAUCUAUAAUUUCUGAAAAUUGACCUAAUUGCAUAGUUUUUGGAAGAUAAAUUGAGGGUUAGGGUUUGAUGAUGAUUCUGAGGGGAAUGGGUAUUGAUCAUGUUAAUUAUGUUGUAAUGUAAUGUUCAGAAUGAAAACUUAAUCUAUACUGUUGUUGUGAUCAUAAAUUGAUUGAAAUUAUGAUUGAUUGGAUGAAUUGAUGAAGAUUUGUAUGAUGGUGGAAUGAUCUGUAUUUGUUGUUGUUGAUGCAUGUUUUAUGUUCCUUUAGAUGCCUAAUUGUAUAAUGAACCUAUAAACAAUCUUUGAAAACAUGUUUGGGCAUUGGGAGAUCAAAAUUGGGGGUUUUGGGGUGAAAAAUGGUUUAAACCCGUGAGAAAUUAUGCAGAAACGAUGACUGUUCGCUUAAGCGAGCCGGAAGCGAGAUGUAAGCGAACAGCUACUGUAAGUAGUUUGCUUAAGCGAAGACUCGUUCGCUUAAGCGAAGUGCUUUUUGACAGCAUUUCUUAUUUCGCGUUCUUGUAUUCUUUUUUACACGUUUCUGUUUUGAAUUGGCCUUUGGUGUAAACAUGAAAGUUGUAGAUAAUUUUGUUAGCUUUCCAAUGGAUUUGGUUUGACUCUAAAAUGAUUUUUGGUUUAGGAGUUAUGAUGAAAAUACUCCAAGUAGGUCUUAGGGAAAUCUUAUGAAAAUUCAGCACAACCAUUUCCAAGUUAAUCCAAAACUUAUGGGAUAAUUCCAAGGCUUAAAACUAGAAGUAAUAUGAGUGCAAUUAAGGUGUUUAAGAGUAUUUAACCCAUGUUGUGAGGUUACCCUUGGGGUAGGAAUGGAGGUUGACUAUAGUACUGUUGAUGUUGAGUGAGUCAGAUAUAAUAUGAUUUGAUGCUGUUAGUAAUGAGAUAUAUUUGUAUAUGCAUUAUGUGGAUUAUAUAAGAUGUUUUAAGUUGAUGUUGAUUAUCAUUUGAUAUUGUUAUAUCUUGAGGUGUUUAUGUGCUGCCUAUGUUGCUGUUGUAAAUUGAUUAAGCUGCAUGUGUCGGUUUAAGAUGUAAGAUGUCGUCCCAAAGUAUUGGAGUCUUCAGUUGUUGAUGUUGACCAAGUUGUGGAGUAAGUCAUAAUUAUUUAUGCACAGUUAUCGUUGUCUACGUUGUCGUUGAUGUUGCCGUUGUGGAGUUUAGUGAAUUUGGAGAUGAUUGAGUAUGAAACCAAGUGAACAUAUACUAUGUUGAAUGAACUUUAUGCAUUAGUUUGAUUAUGAUUAAUUGUGUAUUUUCUGGAAUCGUUGGAUCAAUUAUGAUGGAUUAUUGUUGACUGUGAUGUAUAUUAUAUUUAAAUAAAUUAUACAUGUUGUUGAAUUCUUUUCAAAGGUUGAAGUAUUAUUAAUUGGAUUGUCGAGGUGAAGUCAUAUUUACAUAUAUGCAUUGAUGAGUAGUGGUUGUCGUUGAUGUUGUUGAGUUGUAUGUAGAGAUACACAGGUUGGGUAGUUGCAUAAACAUCAAAGUGGGAGAGCUUCGGCUCUGGAACGCCUUGUCGUUCAAAGCGGUGGAACACUAGUUGUUCAAAGCGGUGUGGAGCGGUGAGGACUUAGGUCCUGUUGAGAAUGCUUUAACCAUUCGACAGCGGUGUGGGUCACGGCCCUGAAUUAUGGUACCACAUGCAUAGUUGCAUUUAUUUAGGAGUAUUAGGGGGAGGUCAUGUCUUGCAUGAGUCUUAGCGGUGGUGUCGAGUUGUUGCAUGAGUCGUUGUUGUUGGUUUUAAUUACCAUUUGUUGUUGAUGUUGUUGAUGAUAAUAUACUUAUAUAUUGAUGAAUUAUUAUUAUGACAGAGUGUUAGAUUUAAUUGAUGAAUUGGAUAUCUAUUAUUGAUGAUAUUGUUGAUUAUGAAAUAUAUACAUAUAUUGGAUAAUUGUAGUUGCCGUUGUUCUUGAGUGAGUUGUUGUCGUUGUUGUUGAAUCUUGUGUUGUCGUCGUUGUUGGUUGAAUUAGCAAGUGUUACUAAAGUUAAAGAAGUUAGAACAUUAUUGUUGAAUAUAUGUUGUUGUUUAUAUUAUUAUGAUAUUGAUUAUAAUGUUAUGAUGACUGUUUAUGGUGUUGAAUAUGAGGUUGUUAGGAUGUUACGUGAUGAUGAUUAUGAAUGUUGUGAUGAUGGUUAUGUUAAGUUGAUAAGUUGUCUUUUAUUCAUGUAUUGCUAAUGGAAUGUUUGAUGAAUAAUUAUUAUUAUGGAAUGAUGAUGUUACGUAUAGUUGCUAAGUUGUCCUCUAUUCAUGAGUUGUUAAUAAGGUGCUUGGUGGAGAAUGUUAAUACGAAUUAAUGAUGUAGUUAUGUUGUAUAUGAACUAUGAAUAUGAUGUUGUUACGUUGUUUAUGUCAUUGAUUAUGAAGUUGUCAUGUUGUAUACGAAUUAUGAGUAUGAUGUUAUAUGAUUAUGAUUAAGAUGUUGAUUAUGAAGUUAAAUGAUGUUGUUAUGAUGUUGUUUAUGAUAUCGAGUUAUGACUGUUGAUAUGCUGAGUACAUGAUAUGGUUUAGGAGUCGUUAAAAGAAUUACUAUUACUAAUUGAUGAAGUUUAAGUUGUUAGAUGCAUUUGAUGAAUUAUAUAUUAUUAUUAUUGAUUGUGAAUCUCACCCCUUCUGCUUGAAAAUGUUGCUCUUCGUAUGAGUAACUUGCAGGUGAUCGAGAGUAGGUUGCUGUGUUUUUGUUGUCGUGAGUGGCUAUCCCUCACUGAGUCGUUUAGGUGCUCUGAUACGUAACGGGAUGGGAACUUUGUUGCAUGCUUUUCUAUUCCUUACGUAUUGUUUAUAAAUUUACAUGAUUAAGUUGUUAAUUGGAUUUUUAUGAGAUGUUUUGAUGAGGCCUUCGUGCCAAGACUUUUUAUGUUAAUGAAUUUAAUCCGCUGCAAAGUUUGAAUUAAUAUUUCGAAGGAUAAAUUAGUUAAUUAACUUAUUAAUGAUUUUAUGAAGUGUAGCAUUCCGUUUACAUGUUGAAUACUCUGAUUAAUUAAAUGAAAUUUUUAAGUCGGGAAAACGGGGUGUUACAAAAAUCCCCUUUACCAUGUUCGAGAUGGACGUUCUGCGCUUGCUUAAUGUUGCCCCUACUCAGAUUCAUCUUAACAGUUGGGCAUUCAUUCGCGGUUUUGAGAUUCUGUGCGACGCCUUAGACAUGAUUCCUUCGCCCGGAGUCUUUUUCCACUUUACGGAACGAAAGGGGUGGAUAAAGGUUCCUGGGUACCUAUUAGUGCACAUCCUGGGAAAUAGCUUUUUCCUCCUUUUGCGUCUAAUUUUAAAGAGGAUUGGAAAAAGAGUUUUUUGAGGGUCCAAGCGUCAAAAGAUUCCACAGUUAGUGUUGCUAGUGUCGCGGGCGAGGUUAGAUUUCCUUUAGGGUGGACAGCUAACCCUUUGGCUGUCUCAGGCUAUCACUAUCAAAAAAUGACCCCUUAUGAACAAGGUGUAGUUGGCUUUUUAGAUCGGAUGCUUCAUACGGACAUCCAAAAAAAUUUUAAACAAAGAAGGGGAUUCGGAGGACCUUGAAUUAUACCUUCGUGAGUGUUGAAGAUUCAUGCUUUUU